CCAUUACCAGGGAUUCCUCUGGAGAUACAUCUGAAGGCACCACCAAAGCAACAAAAAUUUUAAGAUCCAUCUCUUCAGAUUCUUCAGAAUGUAGUCCAAAACUGUAUAAUGAACCAGACAUUAGCAGCUUAAAAUCUCAGGAUGAUCAAAGACUGGCAAGCUUUAAUGGAGAUAGCAGAGAACUUGAUGUAAUUUCUUCUCAGAAUUCUGUAAUUUCCUCUCACAGCUCUGUGGAGACUAUAAACAAGGCUGAGUCAUACUCACAAAGUUCCUCCGAAGCUGAACCAGCUGAUGGUACUUGUGGCUCUUUUGUAAAACUGUUACAGAUGGCAGGAACAACAAUGUUGCAUGGAGUUUAUAAUGAAGGAAGCAGAAAGAGGUCAUCAAGUCUCGGCAUGCCAACCAAAUCAGAAGGUAUGGCCUGUAACUCUUGCAGUAAGAAAUCAAUUAUCAUAAAUUGUUUAAAAGAUAUCCAUCUGCAUACUAAUUUGAGCCUGCACAUAGGCGUGAAUUCAGGAUUUGGAGAGCUCAGGAACUUUGAUCUGUCAGAAGAUAACAGAUUCUGUGAUGCCUACAAAGAAAAUGAGCUUUUUGUAACCGAACAAAUUGGGUCAGCAGAAUCUUCAGCAGGAGUUCCAUGUCAGAAUACAAUUGCUAUUAGUUUCGAAGAAUUACAGAAGUUUUCAAUUGAAAAUUCUGACUCCAACUCUCCUAACAACCAUCAAAGGCCAAUUGAAGAUCAAGAGACUGAACUUGUGUCAGAAGUUCAAAAGCAAGAGAAUAACUGCAGAGUUGGGCAAGUUUCAAAUCCUCUAAGUUCUUCAGAAUGUAUUUUGGAUGUCUCAGGAAAAACCCAAAUAACUAGAAAUCAGAAGGCUGUUCAUUUGAAUCUGAAUGACUGCAAUACAAUUGUGGAGAAAAUUGAUGAGGUGAGCCCUAGUAUAUCCAAUGCCAAAAGGGGAAGAAAUGGAAAAGAGAAAAAGGAUGCCAUUGAUUGGGAUAGUUUAAGAAUACAGGCACUCUCUAAUGGUGAAAAGAGAGAGAGGACAGCCAAUACAAUGGACUCAGUGGACUGGGAAGCGGUGAGAUGUGCAGAAGUUGAGGACAUCGCUGAGACCAUCAAAGAAAGGGGAAUGAACAAUAUGUUAGCUCGGAGAAUCCAAGUAUAUGUUCUAAUUCUAGCAUAAUUGUGGAUUUUAGUCUCUCAGCCACUAAUCAUCACUGUCAGCUAAUGAUAUCGAAUCAUGCAGGACUUCCUAAACAGGCUUGUCACAGAUCAUGGAAGCAUUGAUCUGGAAUGGCUGCGGGAUGUCCCACCAGAUAGGGUCAAGUAAGUGUAUCAAAUGGCUUCUGAUGCCAGUGCAUAAAAAGUUUUGCAAUGACAGUAAGCCUAACAACCUUGUAUCAUAUUUAUUGUGCAGAGACUACCUAUUAAGUGUAAAGGGUUUGGGUCUAAAAAGUGUAGAAUGUGUGAGGCUUUUGACACUUCACCAUCUUGCUUUCCCAGUAAGAUUAAUACUUGAACCAAAAUAUUUAGAAUGGUCAGAAAGGAUUUACUUCGAAGAACUCAUGUUGGAUUUACUUCAAUUAGGUGGAUACAAAUGUUGGACGUAUUGCUGUAAGACUGGGCUGGGUACCACUUCAGCCACUUCCUGAGUCACUUCAGUUGCACCUUCUAGAACUGUGAGUUUUGGAGUCUUAAUAAACUAUUCUUGUUUCAUCUCAGAUAUUAGUGUUACUGUUGCUGUUGUACAGGUACCCUGUGCUGGAGUCAAUCCAAAAGUUUUUAUGGCCAAGGCUCUGCAAGCUUGAUCAACGAACCUUGUAAACUUUGUUUCUUCCAUAGUUAUAUCAAAUAGCAAUGAGUCCCUAUGAUUUGCUGACUUAAGAUGCUUACAAAUUGUAGGUAUGAGCUGCAUUAUCAAAUGAUAACAUUUGGAAAGGUAUGCCAUUCAAUUAGGACGUUCUUUCCCCUAACUCAUUUUUAAAUUAAAGCUGAAGACUUCUCCUUUAUUUCCCAGGUUUUUUGCACAAAAAGCAAACCAAAUUGCAAUUCGUGCCCCAUGCGAGGAGAAUGCAGGCAUUUUGCAAGUGCCUUUGCAAGGUAUAUCCAAUUUAACCAACUACAACCUCUUUAUUUCCCAGGUUGUAGUUAAGGCAUCAAAAAUUAAUAAAAUGCCUUUCCACUUUUCAACCUCUUGGCAAAGGCCUUUAUUCUGCCUUCAUUCAUGUACAUGGAAACUUCUAUUCAAGUUACUGGUAGUAAAAACUAAAGAGGAAUCACUUACAAUGCUAUCUAUAGCAAAAUCAGAAGGGUCCUUUUUUUUUUUUUUUCAAAUCUGAAGCAGGUGAGUUGAGAAAGUAGCUUAUUGGAAGAUUUUACUCGUAAGGUACCUUUGGUUAACAAGUAUCUACCUAGAGGUUGCUCUUUAAUUCUUAAGUUAUUUGGCCUUUGUGUCUCAGAGAUAGCUUCUGGCUUUAGUCUUUAUUAGGUUUAAGUUUUUCUUUAACUUACCCAUCUUAACUACAAACAAGCUCAAAGGCAAUAAUGAAAAACAGCAGACAUUGAUUUAGACAACCAGAGAUUCCCACAUAAAAAUGGUAGUUUCAUUAUACGUAUAAAAUAUGUUACAUGCAGUGCUAGGCUUGCCCUCCCAGCACCAGAGGAUAAAAGCAUCAUUACUGCAGCACAAUACAGAGAUCCCAAUACAAAUCCAGAAGAAAACAUAAAUCACCUGCAACUGCCUCUACCUCAAACUAGUCAACAAUUGGAAUCUGGUUCUCAAGUUGGAACCUGCGGUCCUAUCAUUGAAGAGCCUGCAACACCAGAGCCUAUCAUCAUUGAAGAGCCUGCAACACCAGAGCCUAUCAUCGAACAGCCAGCAAGCCCACAGCUAGAACAUACACAAAUACCAGAGCUUGACAUUGAGGACGCAUUCCAUGAAGAUGAAGAUGCUGAUGAGAUUCCUACCAUUAAACUCAAUAUUGAGGAGUUGAAUCAGAAUCUGUUGAACUACAUUCAAAAGAAUGUUGUUUUAACUUCAGAGAGUGAAAUGUCAAAGGCAUUAGUGGUUUUAACUCCAGAAGCUGCUUCAAUCCCCACGACUAAACUUAAGAACAUAAGCCGAUUAAGGACAGAGCAUUACGUGUAAGUUCAUUCAAGCUUAGCUACAAACAUAUACCUGCAAUUCAUUAACUAAAGAGUAAAGACAUGUAUAGACUUGCAAAACAUGUACAAAGCACAACUUCUUGUCUUAAAAGAUGACAGUAUAAUGAAUAGCUGCUAGAUGCCUAACUAUCUACCAAUUUAACAGCUACGAGCUUCCUGAUGCGCAUCCACUGCUGAAAGGGGUUAGUGUUACAUCUGCUUCUCAUUUGACAUAUAGUUCCUGCCUACCAUGUGCAACUGAACUUUCUAACCAUCUUACUGUAUUAAAAUCCAGUUUGACCAACGAGAACCAGAUGAUCCAUCAUCAUACCUUCUCGCCAUAUGGACACCAGGUAAGCUAACAUGAUGAAAGUGAAACAACAGAAACCCUUAGCAGAGGGCUUGAAACAUGCUGAUCAAUGACUUUUUGAUGUAUAUUAUGGAAUGAAUAUAUGAAUCUUAUACCCGUGUGUGUGUCUACUCAUCAAUAGUUUUUUAAGUGUAAAUGGGAAAACCUCUCAAUAUCAGGUGAAACUAUAGACUCUAUUCAGCCACCAGAAAGAUCAUGCAGCUUCCAAGAAUCUGGCAAACUAUGUGAUCGGGAAACAUGCUUUUCGUGCAACAGCAUACGUGAAGCAAACUCCCAAACUGUUCGAGGCACACUACUGGUGAGGACGCAUCCUUUUUGUGCCUCUUACUUCAUAACAGUGUAAUUCCUAAUUUAUGAUGACCCCUGUGCACAGAUACCAUGUCGAACAGCUAUGAGGGGUAGCUUUCCGCUUAAUGGCACAUACUUCCAAGUUAAUGAGGUACACAAGUCCAGCAACAGUGAAAUCUUAUAGAUUCUAUGAACAAAAGCCUCAAAAGGAACUCACUAACUGCAGGUGUUUGCGGACCACGAAUCUAGCCUUAACCCAAUUGAUGUGCCAAGAAAUUGGUUGUGGAAUUUGCGUAGACGAACAGUUUACUUUGGAACAUCCAUACCUACCAUAUUUAAAGGUAAGUAAUAGUAGAGUUCAUUCAUCGUUUUAGUUAAUAACUAGUUCCUACUUCAUCCAAGGUAGUUCCUGGAGUACAUGACAUUUUUUGUUUUCUUGUUUAUUAGGACUGUCACAGGAGGAAAUUCAAUACUGCUUCUGGAGAGGUAACAAAAAAAAAAAAAGAAAUCAAACACUUUUUGCAGUUAAUUCAGCAGCUUCAUUUGAAUUUUGGUAACUAAUUUUGUAGCAUUACGUAGCAUGCACAAGGAAAUUACUUGCAAAAUUUAGUACAACUUUGUUUCUUCCGAAAUUAGAGGCUUGCUACUAGCUAUCAUAUCCUGAAAUGAGCAGUUCAAGCGAGGUUCAACAACAUAAUAGCAUCUUAUUUAAACACUUUGCUUCAUUUCUUAAAAGGUAACUUUAUCCUCUUAAACACAGUUCUCAUAUGUAUCGACUCCUAUUGACAGACAGAUUUUGGACUUCAAAUUCUACUAGUCCUUAUUUAUACAUCAUUAAGGUACUUAUUUAAUAAGGAAAGUUUAAUUCUUAGACCUGCUCAACAAAAAUGUAGUUUAGACUCGUAGGAAAGAAGUGCUUGGCGUGCAAAACCAACCUUGCUGCUAGAAGGCGGACAAGAGAAAACUAUCUAUGGUUGGGCCAGAAAGUACCAGACAUGAUAAAUGUCAUAUUUUGUAAAGAAAAUUCUGGUCUUGCUAGCUGUGAUUCUCAUUCAUUGACCAAUGUGUAUUAACAGGAUCAAUAUGAUGCCCUCAAUCAAGGAAACAAUCCACAAAGUAUGGAACCAUACGACAAUGAAUGUGUUAGAAGACCAAAAUACAUAAUUUCACAACCUAUUUCCUUUAGAAAUAGUCCAUCUUAGAAAGUAUAAUGCGUUUCUAGCAUGCUAUCCCUAUUGGCAACGGUUAUAUCGCUUCCUUUUCCAGUUGCUUAAUGUAACCUCUGUGUUUGCUAGGGUUCGUGUGCUUAAGGGGAUUUGACAGGAAGACACGAGCGCCUCGACCACUUGUUGCUAGACUACACUUCCCAGCCAGCAAGUUGACUAAGAAAAGAGGAAGGACAGAUGAAAGUUAAGGCAUUGAUCCCUCACCAUUGCUGCAUUCUAUAAUAUUUGGUGACAUGGCACCAAACUAGAGGGCUUGGAUUUUGACAGAAGUAAACAAUAGUCAGCAAGUUUUGUAUAAAGGCAAUCACAAGGGAUUCGGCAUGUUUUAGCAUAAUGUGAUCGUUAAACUUUUGUUGUAUAGAGUCAAUUAACUUAAUGGAAAAGAGGCCGGUCAGCGAAAUUAGGUCAUGUUUCUUUAAAUUACUACCUCGUUUCUUUAUAAUUGUCGUUUAUUCCUUUUUGGAAAAUUGUCUCAAAUUUUGUUGGAUAUGGGAUGGCAUUUUAAAAGGGUGGUAAGACCAAUAGAUCUCCAGAAACGCUACAUGAUUUGGAAGCUUUUUAUGGAUAGUUUUGCUGGGAGUAUUAGAUUGAAUUUUCAGCAGCAAUGAGGAAUACAGAUGAAAAGAUGAGCUUAGUUUGGUCGGGUCUGAUUAGCAAACCCCAGCGCUAAAAGAGUCCGGGCAGACCAAGGUGUCCACACCACUCAAAUGUAAUGUAUAUAUUCAUGCAUGUUGUCCCCUCCUUACAUUUAAACACUCUCUCAACUAAAACUUUUGCGGCGAGCGUCCAUUUAAACACUCGUUAGACAGACCCAAACAAAAAACACCAAAAGGCCUUCCUCUUUUUCGAGCCUGAUUUGGACAGGUACUGACAUGGCCCAAAUCAACUACAAGCAAGAAUCCCGUUGGCAUGCCGCUCUGUUUUUCAGUUUCCCAAAAUUCCAAGUUGAGCGGACAAUGAUCGUGAAUUGCAGAGUAAGUAGUCUUAUCCGAUUAACCUCUCUCGAUGAAUUGCAAAGUAAUACACCAAGGAAACAUUCAUUACUAUGUCUAAAACACCCUCCAUCCAUUUAAACAGCAGAUAUUUAAUACAGAACGUCUAAACCCUCGAGAAACCUGACAUUCAAUUCGCUCAAGAGUCGAGAGUGGUAAUAGCAAAAAGAUCAAGAGCAUACAUGUUUGUGACAUGGCUUACAGCGUUGGCACUAAAAGAGCAAUUUGCAGGUCACAUUGCUAUAAAUGCCAUCGCCAAAGGUCUGGCUGAGACCUCUACCCUCACUACAAGAGCACCGGCUAACAUCCCAGUGUGUGAUCUGCAGCUUUGAUGAUGUCGUUUGAAGAACUUGCACUGCAACAUGAAUUUAAAUCAUGAUUUCAACUCUCUUUUUUGGGAGCAUCCUGAAGUCAAUUUCAUGAUAGCAAGUUUUUUCGGAAAAGCUUUGCUUCGAUUGAACACCGUAAAAUAACAAACAGUUAACCUGGUUAACCUUUUUUUUUCUAUUCGAUAAAUAAUUGUUCAUUUCAGGCAAAAUUCCUAGUUAACUUGUCCUUUUCAUUUCAAAAUUGUGACAAUUCUCUAUUAUCUUUGUAUGAACCUACAGUUGUCAAAUAAAAACGGCUCCCAAAAAUUUUGACCACUUCGAUGAAUUGCAAAGUAGUAAUAACACCAAGGAAGCAAGCACUUGCGAGUAAGGACGGACAAAAAAAAAAAAAAAAGUGUAGAGUCAUCUAACACGUACCUGAAACGGGUGAGCAGUCGACUUCCAAGACCUAAAAUCAUCACAGCACCACUCAACACCCUUCAUCUGUCCCCUCUACACUCUUUCUUUAACUCAUCUGUACCAUCGAUAUUGACACAAAUCGUUGUUUAGCAUGACCGAUUUACCGACGAACUUUAAGCUCCAAAACAUGCCAAUUUUCAGACCCCCUCCGAUGUUGCAAUCCCUACACUGGUAAAUAGCUGAUGAGCUUCCAGCCCCUCCCAUGUACCCCAAAAAACAGGAAGAAAAAUAGAAGGCUACGGCUUCGUACGGUGUUAGAACUUCGAAGAUCAGAACAAGAACGUGGUAGCAUUUAAGGAUUUUCAGUUGUACUGGAAGUGAGAACGUUUUCCUUUUUUUUUUUUUUGCCUUAUCAAACAAAGUGACGGUUGGUGUUGGGACGAAAGGUUUCUCGGUCGUUAGGAAAGUUGGUUGAAGUGCAUAAUACGUUGUAGACCAAUUGCAAAGACCAAAGAAGCCAAAGUAUGGCUGCAAACAAGUACUGUAAUAGUCAGCCAUACUUUUUUUACUUUUUCUGUCUUCUACAGUUCUACCUACGAUUGUGCACGAAAGUCGUGGGUCCAUCAGUUAAAACUGUUACCACUUACCAGUUUCCAUAACUCUUCUUUGUUACUUUGUUAGGAAAUUUUUCGGGCUCCAUUUCGAUUAGCUAUUUUUUUGAGUAUUUUUGAAAAUUUAAUUGUAGCAGAAUUUUUAGAAUAUAUUUUGGAAUAUUUAAAAGUAAAAGAGUUUCUAAAAUAUAUUUUGAAAUAUUUUUUUAAAAUUUAAACUAAUUUUUAGACUAUCUUUUAAAAUACUUUUAAAAAAUUUUAUUGUAUUUGAAAAAAAUAAUUUUUAAAAAACACUCCCAUCCAAAUCUGGGUAUUUGAAAAACUAACGAUUUUUUGGUCUUCAAUGCUAUUGCGGACCAAAUCUGGGUCAAUUUCGAACUGGACCAAUAUUUGUUUGAGCCAAUCAAGUGUUGGCUGUAGUUCUGGUGAAAGCCAAAAUGGUCUGCCACGUCAUGCUUUUCAAAUUUUUAUUGCUUUUCACUUUUUAUGAAUUUAAACUUCGGCAUUUGCAAUAAAAUUCAAAAAGAGCGUAACAGCGCAUCCCUUUGAUUUAGGGUUAGGAUCCUCUGGCUCUCUAUUUAAUUUUUAUUGACUUUUGGACUCUCUCCUAAUGUAGGUGCUAGAACAAAAGUAAGAGUGGGAGUUAACGAUUAACAAAAAAAAAAAAGAAUAUACUCAUUAAAUCAUCAAUUACAUGAUAUUUUAUUCCUAAGCUUUACAACAUAAACCUGUAAUGCGUUUGAGUUCUCCAUUAUUUACAAUUUCUCUCUUUUGUUUUGGGGCUAUUCUGGUUCUUUUCAAUUUUCUACACAAACAGCUACACUUAUACUGUCAUCCUUUACCAAAAAAGAGAGAGAGAGAGAGAGAGAUUCGAAUGAGCUAUAUAGAGGAAUGAAAAAAAUGUCGAUCGGGAUUAAAAAGUACUCAUUUGUAUAUCAUUUAUAUUUUUUAACUGUAAAAUGCAAGAUUUGAAUUUAAAUUUACUGCGCCGCAAACCGUCGCGUCGCGUCGCAUGAUUGUCAGAAGAGUCCACGUCACGGGACUGGUUGGGGGCCUAAUCAUUCGCAGGUUAUUGCUUUGAUGUCGCAAAGAUGAAUGACCGCAACUAAAACCAAGAAAAGCGAGAGAGGACUUGCCAUUUAGACAAUUACUCCCUCCGUCCCAUUUUGAUAGUCCUGUAUUUUUUUUUUCUGUUUUAAAUUAUAGUCCGCUUUCUAAUUGAAGAAAGUAGUUGUAUUUUAAUUUUUCUAAAAUACCCUUAUUCAAUGUAAGUAGUUGUUACUAUAAAUCUAUCCCAUUUAAUGAGAGUUGAUUCUUUUUUUUACCAUCAAUUCAAAUUCUCAUAAAGUUGUACCAUAUUUAAUGUGAGAGUAUUUUAGGAAAAUAGCAAUCAAAAUUUAUUUUUCCAACAAAAUUAACUAUUUUUUUCUUAAAUUGUGUGAAAAAAAAAAACAGGACUAUCAAAGUAGGAAUGAUGGAGUAUUUGAUGUCAGAAGGCAGAAGGAUGGUAAUAUAUACGUAAUUCAUAAAAGGAAGUUCUACGAAGUACGUGCACUUGCAUCAUUGCUGAGAACCUGGCUGUAUUUUGAUGGAUUCGGGACCUCACCAUUUAAUUCAGACCAUUUCAAUAUAAAAUGGUUAUUUUAAAAUUUUUUAUAUCCUAUUUCAAUUAAUUUACAAUCUACCUAAAUUUAUUUAGGUCGCAUUCCAACUUGUUUGCAUCUUAAAAGUAAAUUGGUGUAAAAUAGAACCUGUGAAGCACCAUCUCGAACUUUGAUUGGAUUUUUUAAGAAUUGUAAAUUGUAAUGAUAUUGGAUAAACGUGUUUGUAAAUAAACUUGUUACAAAAAAAAAAAAAAUUCAUGCUUGAAAUUUUGAGAGAUUUUACGGUUCUUUUUUGGUAUCAUUCCUACGAGUGAAAUUCGCCGUUAAUAGUAAAAGAAGUGUUAUUGACUUUUAAAUUAAAUAUAGUUAAAUAUUUAAAUUUUAAAUUAUUAUCUUUAGUGAGAGAUAUGGUGUAUUUUAUAGUUUAUAUCCUAAUAUUUUAUUUCUCACACUUUAUUUCCUUAACUGGUAGUUAAAAUAAACAUUUAGUAAUGGUGCAAACUGUUGACAUCAAAAGGACAAUACUAUUCUAAAAAAAUAAUGAAUAUAUAUAAAUGUUCACAAGUUCAAGUCCGAUAUAGUAUAUAUUUUUUUUCUUUUGCGCAACGUUUCAAAUUUAUCCACUUGAAGUAAUCGCAUGAAUGAUGAUUCUUAAAAAAAAAUUAUAUUUCAAAUUAUUUUACUAAAAAGUACCAAUCGAAAAAUAAUUAAUCCAUUGUAAAAAUCAAAAGUUUUAAUUUAAAUAUCCAAGAAAUCUCCUUCCGAAAAUUUUCAAUGUCAAGACCUUCUUAAGGAUGCCAUUUUAUUACAUUCACAGGUUUCUUUGGAUUGGUUAUUCAAUAUGAUGUGAUGAAUAACAUCUAAACGAAAACCAAGAAAAUGAACUUGAAAAAACGUGAAACCUUUUUUUUUUGUUUCUUGUUGUAGUUGCAAAAUGUUUCGGAUGAAGAAGAGAAAUUCUUUUAAUGUGACGAAUGAUCAAAGCACACAAGAAAACCAUUGGGAAUCUCUUCUUUAUAGAACAUGAAAAGUGGCAUUUUCGUUAGAAAUUUAGUGAUUAAAAUGGGAGGUGUUUUCGUCAAUUGCAAUGUUUGAACAAUCCAUUUGCUAAGUAGGAGUGAUGGAGGGGAUAAAGUGAGAAAAAUAAAAUAUUAGGAGGUAAAAUGUAAAACAUACCAAACCUUAGGGCCACUUCCUGUGAUUAUCCCCGUCCUUAUCCGCAGUCAAAUGAAUUCACCGUAAGAAAACAAAAGACUUCAAUAAAUUUUGCCUUGAAUGAGAAUGACAAUAGAUUGUUUGUAACUGACACAUAUGUGGAAGACACGUGGCAGGAAAAGGGAUCAUAGGCCGCAUCAUAGCACAUAGAAAUCGCGGGGCCAUGCGUUGCUUCAUUAUCGUCCAUCCAUCCAUCCAUAACUGACGACCCCAAAAGCUAGAUACAGAUACCUGCCAAAAGCUAUAAAAUAGUAAACUUUUGGAGUGGUGAAAAAACUGAAAAGAUUCGCGGUUUCACUCACCCUUGGAUUGAGAGUCAAAGAAAAGAUAAAGGGUGGGUGCUUCUCGAGUCACGAGGAACCAGGUGGGGACAGGUGACCGACACUAUUAACUUACACUGUCAGCUAAUCGUUUCCUUUUUUUUUUUUUCCCUUUAUAUAGGAUCAGCUACUUACGUUACGUUAAACGAGUGAUAGUAGUGGUGUGUUUUAACGGAUUAAGCAGGAUACAGGAUACACUAGCGUAAAUACCCGUACUACACACGACGUACUGACAUUAUUGAAAAAAUAAAAAUAAAAGAGUAAAUUAAAAAAUAUUAAAAAAUUAUAGCAACACAAAUAAAAUAUAAUAUCUGUCUAACAAUAGUUUGAAAUAUGAUAGAAUGUAUAUAUUAUUCAAAAAUUAUCUUUUUUCGGAAGAUAGAUUCUGAAAAAAUAAUAAAAAUUUAUAUUAGAAAAUGAAUGAUAUAUGAAUAAAAAUGAAUAUAAUUAAAUGUUGUUAAAAUAAAAUACUUACAAAUAUUAUGCAUUCGAUUUGAUAAUCUUGCAUGAAGGUGCGAACACUCUUCACAUCAAUCAACUUUUAAUAUGAAAGCCAAAAUUAGUGAUUUAAUUAAUUCUGUUGAAUUUUGUGGAAUGUGUACUACAAAUGAAAAUGCACGAUCUUUGCAUCAAUUGAUUCGUUGGUUGAACAACCUACCACCAUUUUCCUGAGAAUUAAGUACGUGCGAAAUUCAAAAUUAGUGUAUUUUUUUUUACAUAGUUUAUAAAUAGCAUUAUAAAAAAUAAACAUAUAUCAAGAAAUUCUACAUUCCUUUGUAAUUAUCUGAGAUAAGAAGCAUUACAACCAAAUAUGAAUCGUGCAUGUCUGUCCUGUAGAUUAAGAUGCAUGUUACCACUGGAAUCUUUGAUUUGUAUGUUAACAUUGUAUCUGUUUGACAAAUAAAAUGUUAUAUAUAACACAAAAAAAAUUGUUGAAAUUAAAGGUAUAUGAAAUUAAUUACCUAACAACAGUGUCGACCACGUCAUUACAAUGUAUACACACUGUUUUUUAAAAACGACCUUCACAUAGUUAUCCACAAUUUUUGCAUAGCUCAUAAAACAUGUUUUCUAUAUUAAUGCUCUGAAUGUAAGUAAGUAUUCAAAAAUAUUUAACCUAGUAAGAAUGAAAGAAGGUAUAGAUUAUGAUUAUAAAUUUAAAAAAAUUUGUGUCAUAAUUAAAUUAAAUAGAGUAAGUUUACCGUACGUAUGAUUGUAUGUUCAGAUAUCUAUAUUCUCUUUGAAUUUUCUAUCAAUAAUGCUUGUGAUGAUGUAAAAUUGCUUGACCUCAAUCACCGUAACUAACUUUCGAGCAUAUGUAUCAUUUUCAAACCUACAAUUUUUGAAAUACAUGUUGAUAAGAGUAUGAAACAACAUUAAAAGUUUGAUGUAGUGUUACUGAUGGAACUCACCAACUGCACAGGUAUCGAGCAAAAUCUAAAUUGUAAUUGAUAUAUAAUUUGCUAGUUCCAAUUGUAUAAAGUGAUGGUUCUGCAUAGUAUGGUUAUAUUCGCUAAAAAACUAUUCAAAUUAUAUAGAGUAUAAGUAAAAACAUUUGAUUUACCUCUGAAAUUUCGUACGUAAAUACUACAUGCUAAUAAAAUAUUAUUUUUUUUGUAGCAGACUGAUAUUAUAGGAUUUAGAGUAUAUUCAAUAACUUGAUACUCAAAUCACCGAUGAGACAAAGUUUGUCUAAAUAAUCUUUACAGUGUCCUAACUCCUUGCAGAAAAAGAAAAAACACUAAAUAGUCCUAAUUGGCAUCGCAAGUUUCGGCAACGUGCCAAUGCCAUCUAACCCUAAUUUUUUUUUGAGUCAAAAUCUAAUCCUAAUUGGUUCUGCUGUUUCUUGAUCAUGUUGUAUGCUUGCGAAUUAAAAUUGUAUUAAAAUAGCAUGUGAAUGAACAUUUUCCUUUAAUUAAAGGGGAAAAAGGAUUUAAAGUAUAAAUAACAAACUAUAAACGGUUUAUGAAGUAAAUUAUGAGAAAGUUUUAAAUUUUAAAUUUAACUGGUGAUAGGGUUGGUUACAAUCCAUUACUUUUUAUGUAUUAAAAUAAAUACAAAAAUCUAUAACCCACUACUUGUUACGGUAUUGGGAUUUUUUUUAGAAUUAAAUAUAGUAAACCCCUUAACUUUACAUUUAUCUGCACUUUACCCCUCAACUUUACAUUUAGUUGCACAUUGUGAUUUUUUUUGAAUCGUGAUUGUAAUUUGCAAAGCCAUUUGUAGGGGUGGUUAUAGGGUUAGUAUGGUGACAAAUAUUUCUUAAUUAUAAAAAUGUAACAUUGUAUUAAAAUAGCUUACGAAUGAGCAUUUGUCUUUAAUUAAACAAUAAAAAGUAUUUAAAGUAUAAAUAACAAACUGUAAACCAUUUAUGAAGUAGAUAAUGGGAAUGUUUUAAAUUUUAAAUUUGAUUAGUAAUAUGAUUAGUUAUAACUCACUACUUUUUAUGUAUUAAAAUAAAUACAACAUUUAGAAAAAAAAUGAAAAGUUUGAAAAUCAUUGAGAGAAUCUCAACUAAAAACCCAUUCUGUAAUACAUAUAGAUAUAGAUAUUAGACAAAUAUUGAAAUUUUUUAUUAGUGAGAGAAUUUAAACUCAAGAUAUAUUACUUAUAAUCUCUCAUCUCUUACCAAUCAAUUCAGUCCUCUCAUAAUAUUAGAAUUUUAAUGAAUGUUAAGUCAGAGGUACAUGUAUAAUUGUUUAAUUAACCUUUUUUUUUAUUGUAAAUGUCAAGAUUUUUUGCUUAUUAAGUAAACGUGGGCUUUCCAAUAAUAAUUGUCUCCAACAAUGUUGGAGUAGGUCCAAAAGAGUAUAAUGUUUGACUUACUAUUUUAUAUUUACCGUUAAUAACUUUAAUAUUAAAUUAUAAAGCUCGUACCUAUAUAAUCACAUAAAUAUUACACGUGUAAGUGUAAAGUGUCCCGCAAUUAUUGGUAUACAAACAAUUUGAUACUUUUUGUUCAUUGGCUUUUGGAUAAGGUUGGUGGCAGCCGCGACAGUGGAAUGACAGUUGUUACACCAAUAAGAAAUUAAAAAAAAAAUCAAGGUCAACACUCAAUAUUUUUGUUGUUUAUCGACAAAUUAUUAAAUAUGAGGGUUGAAGACAUUAAAUUCAUAUCCCUCCAUGUAACGAUAAUGUUUUUAAAUCAUUAUAAAAAAAGAUAUUUUUUUAAAAAAAAUGUAUAAAUUUUAGAAUCAUAUUCCAGUGUAGCCGAUUGUCCGAAAAGACCAGCUAAGUAUCAUUGCCUAUCUUUUUGAUAUCCUUUCUUUUUAUUCAUCGCAUUUCUGGAUUUGAUUAGUGCUAGACAUGCCUGAUAUUUUUGCUUUACUGAGCCAGGUUAACCAAAUAACCCUGGUUCUUGUAAUAAUUCUAAACAACCACUUUUCUGUUCAUCUCAUUUUCUGAGUUGUCUAAUAUUUAUAUGCAUUUCUCUCUAGAACAAUGUCACGGCUUUGUUCUCAAAACUAAUGCAAUAUCAUGAUGGUUUUGUUCUCAAAACUAAUGCUUUUUUUUUUUUUCUUAAUAUGCAUCUUUAAAAUAUUAAUUUUCAAGUAAUAGCAAUAUAUGAUACAAAAGCAACUUAAAAGCAAAGCACAUCUGAUCUUCUUCCGUUAGAGGCUUCAAAGGAAAAAGAGAAAAUUUGAACUCAUCCAAGAAAUAAAGUUGACAAAUUGAUAAUAGUCUCAUAAUUAUCUAGUAUUAUAGUACCAUGAGCUACAGCAUAUUUAUGGGCACGGAACUAAUAAAAUAUUCAAGGAAAGGAAACAACGAAAAAAACCCUGAAAUUGACAAUAACUCGCGCCCAACCCAGCGUUCGGCUCUGGGGCCUUGAAUCAACCGUCGCGGUUUGAGCAACAACAUGGAAAUUACUAGAAAACAAAGAAAUAAAUAAAAUACUGAAAUAAUAAUAGAGAGCUACACUAAUUUUAGUCAUACUUAAAGAAUUUAAAAGGUUUCAUGAACAACAUUGUUAAGCAUAUAUUGUUAGAUUCAAGAUCCAGGAUUUCAUGUUCCGCAUAAGUAUGAAAAUCGAUAAUCUUUAGUGGUGCCUUUCUAGAGUCUCAAGAAUGAAAAUUAGAUGCUCUAAUAACAAUAAAGAUCACAACACCAAAAAUAAUACUACUACUAAUUACUAAUAAUGGCUCUGUUCAAAACUUCCAGCAUUAAGGAAGUUUUACUGUUGGCAAGAAGCAAAAAUUUAGGCUCUGUUUGGAUUAGUUGUUUUUGAAAAUAUUUAUUAAAAAUUUUGCUACAACUGUGUAUAUGAAAAACUUUUAGUGUAAAUGUUUUUUGAAUUGUUCUUAGAAAUAUUUUUAAAAUAUAUUUUUGAGUAUAUUUAUAAUUUAUAAUUUUUUUGGAAUUUUUUUAUAAUUUUACACGACCCACCCUACCCUUCCUUUUCCUUCCUUUCUCUUCUUUUUGUUCCUCUCCUCUUUCCCUCUAUUUCCUCCCCUCCUCCUCCUCCCUUCUCUCUUUUUCCUCUCCCUUCUCCUCCUAACCCCUUUCUUGCUUGCAGGUAGUGACUGUGACUUUAGUCACCACUUUAACCACGACUAUUUUGAUCGCGACUUCUAGUUACAAUCAAAUUUGAUCAUUACUAGGAAGGUUACAGUUAGUGAAGGAAAAAGAAAUUGAGAGGCGGGAAAAAGAAAGAAAAAUAAGAAAGGAGAAUGAGAGAAAGGAGAAGGACAAAAGGAGGAAAGAUGGACGGGGAGAGAGAGAGAGUCAUAGGUAUGGAGUGGCGGCGAUAAGGUGGUGAUCGUAGUGGUAGAGAGUGAUAGAUAGUGAUGUUUUUUUUUUGGUAUAUUUAGAGUUAUUUUUUAUAUAUUAUAUGGAUAUAAUGUUUUUAAAUUUAUUUUUGUUUAUAUAUAUUACUGUAGCAUUGUAUAAGAAAAUUUUUUUUUUCAAAAUUGAGAAAUCCAAAGAGCGCUAGGUAUUCUCAUCACAAUUUAGCAUUUAUUAGUAUAUUUACACACUAAAAAAUGAUAAUAAUCAAUUUCGAAGAUAACAUUAUACCUUGGCCCUAACACAGAUCCUGUAAGGAUUUCUUUCAUAUAUAAAGUGGUUGACAUAAGCAUGAUGUUACCAAUUAAGACGUGUAAGAUAUAACCUACUACAUUAACACUUAAAAGUGUAAUUUAGUCGAAUCAAACUCAAAUUAAAAAAUUUGAACUUGAGCGUGAACUUGAACUUAUCAAGCUUUUAAAAAUUCAACUCAAGCUCAAGUUUGAUUUUAUUUUACAUUACUCGAAUUCAAACUCGAGUUCGUGCUUAUUACACCCAAUUGAACUUGUUUCGCACUUAAUCAAGUUUAAGAAAUACAAAUUUAUAUUUUAUAUAAUUUUACACAAAGGACAAAAUAAACAUUUUAUACUCAUAAAUAAAAAAUUAAAAAUACAUAUAUAUGUGAAACUUGAUUAAGUUCAAUUAAAUUCAAUGAACUUUAGAACUUCAUAUAUUAAAUUCAAACUUGACUUUCAAGUAAUUUUAACUACUCAAUGCAAUUAAUGCGAGUUUGAACUCAAGUUUUGACCUAGUAAACUCACAAACUACUUGAUUAAGUUUGACUUUUUUGUACUCACAUUAACACUUGCAUAAAAAAGAAACCAUAUUUAGAAAGACAUGCACUUAUGGUUGUCAUGAAUGAUAAUUUAGCCAAAAGGGGAAAAUUACCAUUUUGCUUGCUUAUUUUCAAAGUAUCCAAUAUGCUUUUUGUAUAUAGUUAUGGAUAAAAGAUGGGAAUAAUUAUCUAUACAAAUGCUCUUGAAUAGUAUAAUGACUAGUGGUAAAAGGCACACCUAAUAUGUGUGUAAUUUAAAAAUAAAUUGUUUCUCAUAUAAACUUAUUUUACAUGGAAUUUUUUUUUUAAUGAACAUGACUUUGCUCAUUUAAGAUUUUUUUUUCGUAAGAGAGUAAUUUUGUUGUAUAUAUAUGAGUAGUUAUAUUGGAAAGAUAUGCUCUAGUAUUUACAAUGAAAAUAAGUUGUAGUCAAGAUAAAAUUUAAAUCCUAUGAAGCAAAAAUAAAAGUGAUAAAAAAAUGUUUACAUCAAAACUCAAAAUUCCUACUUUAUAUUUGUACAAAUAGUUAACAAUGAAUUAGAAUUUGUUAAUAAGGUAUUACAUUGUUUAAAGGACAGUUGCUCACUGCUACAAGCAGUCUUGCCCUUACUCGUAUGACCAUAUAUGAUUUAUUCUAUAAUCUAAAUAUAUGAUCAAUGUAAAACAUUUGAUAGUAGUAACUUGACAGGAAACUCAAGGUCACACAAAUUGCAUGUGUCCUCAAAACCAAACAAUUAUAAAAAAUAAAUCCAUUUUUCUCUUUUUCUUCUACUUUUUCAAAUUUUUUUGACCAAUUUCCCAAAUUGGCAAACAAACCUUAAUCAUGAAGAUUCUCCAAAAUGCGCACGAGAUCUUUAGACUGCCAUUUUUAAAUAUUAUCCAAUUUCUCUAAUUUUUGCAGUCCUCAAUUUUUUUCAAAGCUUUUCAUUAUAAUAAUCUUCCACUCUAUACAAAAAAAUCUUCCUAAUUGCUCAUAGGAAUGAAUUGUACAACAAGUGUUUAUGAUUUAUUUAUCCAACAAAGAAAUCGGAGAAGAUAUAUCGAGAAAAUGCAAAGAUUAAAAAAAAAUAAAUCAAGGUGUUUGAAAUAUAAACGAAAAGAUAUGUUAGAUGGUAGAAAAUGAGUGUAAGUAAAAAGUUUUGAAUUUGAAUCUUUCUAUUGAUACUAAAAAAAGAAAAAGGGUUGUUUGAAAUGCAAGUUUUAUGUAAAAAUUUUUUAUAUUUUUUAUAAACUCAUUUUCGAUCACAUUUUUAUCUCACAUAUAUCAAAUAAUUUUAUAAUAUUUUUAUAUAAAAACUCUAAAAAGUAACAAUUCAAAUGAACUCUAAAUUUUGAUUUUAUUUUAUUUUUUACUAUUUGUUUAGUUGCAUUAUCACAUGCAAUUCAUAUGUUUGUUCCCGUCAAAAUGAAAUAGUUGCCAUAACAGUAACAACAACGAUGAUAAUACUAAUUGAAUAAUUUAACACGACGAAUCAUAAAAUAUGAAUCGAGCGACAUAGGACCCACAGAAUACCACCAUAGCCGUAGUUGGCGCAAAGAUCCUGUUUCCCUCCAUGUUCGAUGAAUAACCGAUUUUUGAAUAGAAAUCCCAUGAAACGCUGACUCGCUCCAUCUAUCAAGUCAUCCCAAACGAUCAACUAACGACUACUGAUAAACCCCGUACCCCAAUACCGGUUACGCGUACGUAAUCAAAGCCCAGCACCGUCUGACGUGGCUCAUCAAUUCACAGCACCGAACGCAGUAAAAAAUCAGUGUGCAUCCCAAACUCUGUGUGGGAAAACGUGCAGGAGUACGCCACUAACAAAGGGACCACUAACAGCGUCACUUAACAGGGCGGGUGAUAUCAACCUAAUGUAAAAUACAUAAACGGCGUCGAUAACGCCCCUCUCGACGCUGGCGUUUUCUUUUUUUCUUUUCUGUUUUUUUUUUUUAAAUUUGUUUAUAAUCUUCAAAGCUUAGGUGGGGAAACUCUGUUUUAUUAGUUUAAUCACGUGUUUAGGCAGGUGAAGCCGCUUCACCCGCCGGUUCCACUGUUGGAGGAACUCAAUUUACCAUUAUAGCCUUCUAUGUGCAGUUAAUGACUUCUUUUAUGCAAAUUGAAGAGGGAAUUAGUUAGAGUAUCGACUUGUCAUUUAUGGGAUAAUUUAUUAAUAACAUAAUGGAAAUCUCAAGUUUUUAAUGAAUUAUACGUGUUUUACCGGCAAAAGAAGUAAGCAAUUCAGCUGGGCUCAGUCCAGUCUAUUUAUAAAAAGCUCUCUGGCUCAUGUGUUUGGAAUUUUUCGUCUCUAAAAAACAACACUCUCUCUAUAUGCUUCACCGUUUCCUUCCGCCGUCCGCUACCCUGUGUGAGAUCUCCGGCGACGACUAAGGUCUCUGGUUAGUCUGCUUCCAAGAGUUGAUUGUAUUUCUUCCACUUUCUUCAGUUAUGUGACUUUUACCGUAUGCUGAGGUGAAAAUGGCAUUUCAAAGUGGCAUUCUUCCAAGUAAAUUGCUUUUGCUGCUUUGGUUAAAACAUUUCACUCAUCUGAGCUAAUUCUCACUCUGAUCUGCUAUGGUCAAUUGAUUUUAAAAUUUUUUAUCAGAAUUACAUUAAUUACAUGUUCAAAUUUCUCCACAUUGAGAGAAAAAAAAAAGAUCACAUUUUUGGGUUAAUUCCAGAGUUUCACAAUUUAAAGGAUGCUGUUGUGUAAGAUAUGGAAGUGUCUGUAAAAACAUGGUCUGCAUGUUAAUUUCUGCUUCUCAGAAACUUUUUUUACCUUUUGUUUUACAUUUUUCUAUGGGGUUUGAAAUAUUUUAGCAGGAAGACAUUUUAAGCGUGGUGAAAGACCACCUAACUUCUGCAAACCUACGCGCAAGUUAUUUAUUUAGCAUUUUCUGCAAACAAAGUGAGUGAAAUAGAAUUUACUGACAACAAAGUGUUGACAAAUUAAGAAAUUACCGGGCUUUGCUCUUGCAGAAUGGAAGCAACGGUAGAGAACUCUACUGUGAUUGUCAAAGGCCCUCAAAUUGAGAAUUCUUGGAUUCCUUCCACCCCUGCGAAGCCUGGUUUGGAAGCUCAGCCAAUCUACACAGAGACGCAAGAACGACAACCAUUGCAAGCAAAUUGGUCCCAACAAUCCCUGCCAUGUGAGGGAAAUGCAUCAGAUGGAUGUAGAAAGGCAGGAAAAUCAAUCAAAUUUCAGCAAGAAAUCAAAGUCCAUAGUGUAGCCACAUGUUGUGGAGAAAACAAUUAUGUGGCUGUAGCCAGAAACUCCGAUGGUUUGGAUGCAACAUCGGCAGCAGAAUCACGGCUGCAUGAAGUCCCACUCAAAUUUUUUCAGGAGUUGUCCUUGGAGACAGACAAGUGGGGCAACGUUUCUUUUCAAGAAUUGAUGGCACUCGCAGAUGCUGCGGGCACUGCCAAAGCUGCUGAGGAAGCGAGUAAAAUUACUGAUUUGAAUGCUGAAAACAUGUCAUGUUGCAUUCAGUUUACCCAGCUGCCAGAAAUAUCCACGAGUUCUUCACUGGAAAACCAAGGCCUGGAUUCGAGUUCUCAGAAUAAUCCUAAGACACCCCAUUGUGAGUCUAGUUGCCUUAUUUAUUGCUACCUAUUACUUCUAUCAUAAAAAGUUACCCUGUCAAUCAUGGCAGAAAGUUGCCAAGGGAUUUCAAACCAAUAAGAGAAUGGUGGGUCAAGUAUGCUUUGAGGAGGUAACUUGCUACAGAAUUGACUAUUUGUUCACACAAAUACUAAAAAAGCUACGUUGUUAAUGUCUCCCAGCUCAUAGCUGUAUUAAGAAAAUAUAAAUCCCGUAAAUAUUUCCUACAAAUGAGUAAUAUAACUAAAUAGCCAGAGUGGUGAAACUAGACUUGGCGAAGAAAGCCACAUACCUUACAUAGCUUUGUGCUAGAGUUUAUCUUAUGCACGCUUAUCAUUGCAAAGCCCUUGUUGCAUCCCGCCAACCUCAGUUUCUAUAUGUACACGCACCAAACAUUGUUCUUUAUUCUGUCUGUUUACAUGCUUCGCAUCAAGAAAGCAGGAUUCUGCCUAUCAUGAUGGAACAUAAAUAAACUCCAAGAAUAAUCCUGGCAAUGCUUACCUCAAUCCUGUUAAUGAAUUUUCCUUUGCAGGUGAAAAUGUAAUUUCUUCCAGGCUCUGCUUUGAUCUGAAUUCUCCACCAAGAACAAUUGCUGAUGCAUCAACUACACUUGUCUCAUCCCAAUUUGAGCCUGUCACACCUGAUCCGACGAGGAGAACAGAUGGACGGAAAGUGUCCAACUCUGCAGCAGCAGCAAAAGAAACAAGAAUGCAGAAUGAAGUUAUGAUGACACCUGAAUUGCAUGAGCUCCAAAACAAUCAGUCAGUGCUGGUUGAGAAUCAAUCUUGGGCUACCAUCUCCACUGUAAUAGGGGAGAAUUUCAAGCCUGAAGUAGGCAGUGAACAGCAGACUGAUCUGACCAAGACACCACUGCAGAAGCCAAGGAGGAGAAAGCACAGACCUAAAGUGGUUGUUGAAGGUCAACCUAAUACGAAGCGCAAUCGCAAUCGGGGAACACCAAAGCCUACUGGCCAUCAGGAAAUUGCAAAACCCAAGAGGAAAUAUGUUAGGAAAAGUACAGUCGGCAAACCAGUGGAUAGUCCUUUGGAAGGCAAAACCAAUGGAACAGAUCUAGAAGCAACACCCAAGAGGAAAUAUGUUAGGAGAAGUGCAGUCGGCAAGCCUGUGGAUACUCCUUUGGAAGGCAAAACCGAUGGAACAGAUUUAGAAGCAAAGCCUUCUAGUUCGGAGAAUGUGCCAAAAAGUAAGAGGAAGUAUGUCAGAAGAAAAGGGGUUGAAGAAUCCACCACUCCCUUGGAAGUGGGGUGUACUACCAGAAAUGACACAAUGUCAGUUCGAGUAACACGAAGCUCCUGCAAGAAGUCACUAAAUUUCAACUCUGAAGGCCGAGGUCCAGAUGAAAGGUCCACACAGCCCCCUUUAGACGUUGAUGCUAAGUCACAUUCACAGGCUUCGAUUCCAGAGGAUCAAUCAAGAUCAACCAUGAAGCUGGACAGGAAAUGGAAGUGGCACAGCCCCCUUUAGAUGCUGAUGCAAAGUCACAUUCACAGGCUUCCAUUCCAGAGGAUCAAUCAAGAUCAACCAUGAAGCUUGGACAGGGAAUGGAAGUGACAGUUGAAAAGACUGAAAUAGGCAUUGCUUAUGACCUCACACAAACCAUAGAUCAUGCAUUCCAAGGCUACCUUUUUGUCAACGAAAGUCAACCCUCUGGAGAUACAACUUAUUGCACAAGCAAUCAAAAUGGAUGUACGAGAGGGAAAUGUCAAAUAGUUUUCUCAGAUGUAACUCAUGACAAAGAGGCAAGCAAUUUUGGGACAUUGUCAUCUGACGCUAGUGUGUGACAGGGAGUACUUCCAGCUGCAGCAGCAGUGCAUGCUUGACCCAAGAAACACAAUCAAGGAAAUCAAAGAGCCAGCGAUCUUUUAGAAGUGACGAGUCAGAAUCUCGCAGGAUAAAUGCUACCGGGGCCCAUUACAAUUCAUUGCAGGCAUGCCAAGAGCUCUUUCCACCAUAUGGCUACAACUGUCAAGGAACUCCAAGCAUGCAGUUUCCAACAAUUUUCAAGAAAAAGAGGACAGAAAAUUCGCAUAAAUCAGCAACUUCAAGCAUUCUGCAAAAUCCAGUACCUAUGACAAUGAUGGUCGGGAUAGUCUAUGCCCUUCCAAUGAUUCUCAGAUAUACAAUUUCACAUCAGGAACUGAUUUCAUGAUGUCUGCUGCUCAUUCUGAUGCUAAUAGUAUCCCAACGGCAGCAGCAGCAGCUGAUGGUACCCAACAUGAACAGAACCCUUUCGUUUGCCUUCCAAUCUUGAGAAGUGCAGAAAGAUUGACGAAGAAAAGAUCUAAAGGCCCCAUUCGGGUUCGAGAUUUUGCUUCUCUGCAUGAAAUUUGGGGGCAGUUUCCUACUUCCAGCAGAGGAAUGCUGAGUUCUGGAGUUUUAAAAGGACCACACACAUGCAUGGAUGCUCUGGUUGCUGACAAUCGGCCAAGAAUGACAACAAAGAAGCGGUCAAAGAGAAACUCUGUUGCUUCAAAUUCUUCCUUUUCAAAUACCUAUGAUCAUCAGAAAUUUGCAAAAAAGUCAAUGGGUAUGUAUAUAUUACUCUUUUAUAUCUAAUUACCAGUAACAAUGAAAUUAUCAGAAAAUUUUCUUACUUGGUGCAUAUGAUGCAGGGUCUUCAACUAAAUUGUGGAAAAAUAAAUCUUCAACAAUUGAUGCCAUCAUUGAGCAGUUUAACUACCUUGAUAUACAAAAGGAACACAACAGAUUGUUCAACCAAGAACAGAACGCACUAGUCACAUACCAAGUGGACUGUCCAUUGCAGAAUUCUAUUGUUCUUUAUCAAAGUAAUGGAUCUGUUGUACCUUAUGAUGGUUCGUCUUCUCAAAUUAGGAAGCGCCGGCCACGGCCUAAAGUUGACCUUGAUGAGGAGACAAAUAGAGUGUGGAAGCUUUUGCUGGAAGACAUAAACAAUGACGGCAUUGAUGGAACAGAUCAGCAGAAGGCACAAUGGUGGGCAGGUGAACGGGCAGUAUUCCGUGGAAGAGCAACUCAUUUAUUGCCAGGAUGCAUCUAGUCCAGGGUAUGUAGGCUCAUAAUUUAAUUUUGCAGUAGUAUACAUCUCUUAAUGUGCAUAGACGUUAUUAAGAAGUUGAUCUACAUGGGACUAAGAAAAUCUCAGUGCUGUCUUAAAAGAAGAUAGUAUCUAACUCAGGACUUGUUGGUACAUCCUCCUUAAAUAUGGAACUCGAACCUUGUAGCACGUGCUCUGGAGCAAGAAGCCAAAAGAUUCUGGCAUUGCGUGUCAUAUAGCUCAAAUUUACAUGACAGAACACAGCAAAGAAGUCUAUUACAAUUUACAUUAUACCUGUAUAUAGAAGAACAAAAAUCAGUGCUCGCCAACCAAAAAGAGAAAUCAAUUAGUAAAUUGCUUUCUUGGUAUGAAACAUUUUCAUUCUAUUUCUGCUUUUCAAGAAUAUCAUUUUGGCAAAAGAAAUUAAGAAAUCUUUUAACCGUAAAUGAUGGACACAAGAAAGUCAAGCAUUUCAGAAAAUACCAAAUCGACUGCCUAAAAAUUUCUAAUAGUUUAAUGGAAUGGCAUGACUGUAAAUAUGUUGGAGAAAUAACUGACUGAAGGAAACUCUGGGCAGAUGGAACAGUGUAUGUGAACCUUCCAUGAAAGGUUGAAGUGCAAUGCAUCUCACAUAGCAAAAGUUGGUGUCGGAUACUCCAAAAAAGUAUCCUCUUCCUACACGGUUACAUGAUUCAGGCAGAAAAAUGUGUUUGCCAUCUCAAAUAUGUAAUAGGAGUGUGUUAUUUUUUUCUUCCACAGGAGACAGACGCUUCACCCCAUGGAAGGGAUCGGUAGUAGACUCUGUAGUUGGAGUCUUCCUUACACAGAAUGUGUCUGAUCACCUUUCUAGGUGAGUUGAUUUCUAAAUUUCCACCCUCCUCACAAAAGAUCAUAGUAGCUUGAGUGCCUGCAAAAACAACUUUAGUUUGUGUUCAUUGCUGCAGUUCUGCCUUCAUCUCAAUGGCUGCUAGAUUCCCCCUCAAAUCGAAGAGCAAUCACUAUCAUACACGACCAUGUGAACAACAGACAACUGAGGGACAAGUAAUAAUAGAUCCAGAUGAUACAAUUAAAUGGCACAAAAAGGUUUCAAGUCAACUUGCUUGCCUCCAGGAUUCCGUCACUCUAUGUGACAAGGAGUGCAAUGAAGAAGUAACCAGUACCAGGGAUUCCUCUGGAGAUACAUCUGAAGGCACCAAAGCAACAAAAAUUUUAAGAUCCUCUCUUCAGAUUCUUCAGAAUGUAGUCCAAAACUGUAUAAUGAACCAGACAUUAGCAGCUUAAAAUCUCAGGAUGAUCAAAGACUGGCAAGCUUUAAUGGAGAUAGCAGAGAACUUGAUGUAAUUUCUUCUCAGAAUUCUGUAAUUUCCUCUCACAGCUCUGUGGAGACUAUAAACAAGGCUGAGUCAUACUCACAAAGUUCCUCCGAAGCUGAACCAGCUGAUGGUACUUGUGGCUCUUUUGUAAAACUGUUACAGAUGGCAGGAACAACAAUGUUGCAUGGAGUUUAUAAUGAAGGAAGCAGAAAGAGGUCAUCAAGUCUCGGCAUGCCAACCAAAUCAGAAGGUAUGGCCUGUAACUCUUGCAGUAAGAAAUCAAUUAUCAUAAAUUGUUUAAAAGAUAUCCAUCUGCAUACUAAUUUGAGCCUGCACAUAGGCGUGAAUUCAGGAUUUGGAGAGCUCAGGAACUUUGAUCAGUCAGAAGAUAACAGAUUCGUGAUGCCUACAAAGAAAAUGAGCUUUUUGUAACCGAACAAAUUGGAUCAGCAGAAUCUUCAGCAGGAGUUCCAUGUCAGAAUACAAUUGCUAUUAGUUUCGAAGAAUUACAGAAGUUUUCAAUUGAAAAUUCUGACUCCAACUCUCCUAACAACCAUCAAAGGCCAAUUGAAGAUCAAGAGACUGAACUUGUGUCAGAAGUUCAAAAGCAAGAGAAUAACUGCAGAGUUGGGCAAGUUUCAAAUCCUCUAAGUUCUUCAGAAUGUAUUUUGGAUGUCUCAGGAAAAACCCAAAUAACUAGAAAUCAGAAGGCUGUUCAUUUGAAUCUGAAUGACUGCAAUACAAUUGUGGAGAAAAUUGAUGAGGUGAGCCCUAGUAUAUCCAAUGCCAAAAGGGGAAGAAAUGGAAAAGAGAAAAAGGAUGCCAUUGAUUGGGAUAGUUUAAGAAUACAGGCACUCUCUAAUGGUGAAAAGAGAGAGAGGACAGCCAAUACAAUGGACUCAGUGGACUGGGAAGCGGUGAGAUGUGCAGAAGUUGAGGACAUCGCUGAGACCAUCAAAGAAAGGGGAAUGAACAAUAUGUUAGCUAAGAGAAUCCAAGUAUAUGUUCUAAUUCUAGCAUAAUUAUGGAUUUUAGUCUCUCAGCCACUAAUCAUCACUGUCAGCUAAUGAUAUCGAAUCAUGCAGGACUUCCUAAACAGGCUUGUCACAGAUCAUGGAAGCAUUGAUCUGGAAUGGCUGCGGGAUGUCCCACCAGAUAGGGUCAAGUAAGUGUAUCAAAUGGCUUCUGAUGCCAGUGCAUAAAAAGUUUUGCAAUGACAGUAAGCCUAACAACCUUGUAUCAUAUUUAUUGUGCAGAGACUACCUAUUAAGUGUAAAGGGUUUGGGUCUAAAAAGUGUAGAAUGUGUGAGGCUUUUGACACUUCACCAUCUUGCUUUCCCAGUAAGAUUAAUACUUGAACCAAAAUAUUUAGAAUGGUCAGAAAGGAUUUACUUAGAAGAACUCAUGUUGGAUUUACUUCGAUUAGGUGGAUACAAAUGUUGGACGUAUUGCUGUAAGACUGGGCUGGGUACCACUUCAGCCACUUCCUGAGUCACUUCAGUUGCACCUUCUAGAACUGUGAGUUUUGGAGUCUCAAUAAACUAUUCUUGUUUCAUCUCAGAUAUUAGUGUUACUGUUGCUGUUGUACAGGUACCCUGUGCUGGAGUCAAUCCAAAAGUUUUUAUGGCCAAGGCUCUGCAAGCUUGAUCAACGAACCUUGUAAACUUUGUUUCUUCCAUAGUUAUAUCAAAUAGCAAUGAGUCCCUAUGAUUUGCUGACUUAAGAUGCUUACAAAUUGUAGGUAUGAGCUGCAUUAUCAAAUGAUAACAUUUGGAAAGGUAUGCCAUUCAAUUAGGACGUUCUUUCCCCUAACUCAUUUUUAAAUUAAAGCUGAAGACUUCUCCUUAUUUCCCAGGUUUUUUGCACAAAAAGCAAACCAAAUUGCAAUUCGUGCCCCAUGCGAGGAGAAUGCAGGCAUUUUGCAAGUGCCUUUGCAAGGUAUAUCCAAUUUAACCAACUAGGUUGUAGUUAAGGCAUCAAAAAUUAAUAAAAUGCCUUUCCACUUUUCAACCUCUUGGCAAAGGCCUUUAUUCUGCCUUCAUUCAUGUACAUGGAAACUUCUAUUCAAGUUACUGGUAGUAAAAACUAAAGAGGAAUCACUUACAAGCUAUCUAUAGCAAAAUCAGAAGGGUCUUUUUUUUUUUCAAAUCUGAAGCAGGUGAGUUGAGAAAGUAGCUUAUUGGAAGAUUUUACUCGUAAGGUACCUUUGGUUAACAAGUAUCUACCUAGAGGUUGUCUUUAAUUCUUAAGUUAUUUGGCCUUUGUGUCUCAGAGAUAGCUUCUGGCUUUAGUCUUAUUAGGUUUAAGUUUUUCUUUAACUUACCCAUCUUAACUACAAAUAAGCUCAAAGGCGAUAAUGAAAAACAGCAGACAUUGAUUUAGACAACCAGAGAUUCCCACAUAAAAAUGGUAGUUUCAUUAUACGUAUAAAAUAUGUUACAUGCAGUGCUAGGCUUGCCCUCCCAGCACCAGAGGAUAAAAGCAUCAUUACUGCAGCACAAUACAGAGAACCCAAUACAAAUCCAGAAGAAAACAUAAAUCACCUGCAACUGCCUCUACCUCAAACUAGUCAACAAUUGGAAUCUGGUUCUCAAGUUGGAACCUGCGGUCCUAUCAUUGAAGAGCCUGCAACACCAGAGCCUAUCAUCGAACAGCCAGCAAGCCCACAGCUAGAACAUACACAAAUACCAGAGCUUGACAUUGAGGACGCAUUCCAUGAAGAUGAAGAUGCUGAUGAGAUUCCUACCAUUAAACUCAAUAUUGAGGAGUUGAAUCAGAAUCUGUUGAACUACAUUCAAAAGAAUGUUGUUUUAACUUCAGAGAGUGAAAUGUCAAAGGCAUUAGUGGUUUUAACUCCAGAAGCUGCUUCAAUCCCCACGACUAAACUUAAGAACAUAAGCCGAUUAAGGACAGAGCAUUACGUGUAAGUUCAUUCAAGCUUAGCUACAAACAUAUGCCUGCAAUUCAUUAACUAAAGAGUAAAGACAUGUAUAGACUUGCAAAGCAUGUACAAAGCACAACUUCUUGUCUUAAAAGAUGACAGUAUAAUGAAUAGCUGCUACAUGCCUAACUAUCUACCAAUUUAACAGCUACGAGCUUCCUGAUGCGCAUCCACUGCUGAAAGGGGUUAGUGUUACAUCUGCUUCUCAUUUGACAUAUAGUUCCUGCCUACCAUGUGCAACUGAACUUUCUAACCAUCUUACUGUAUCAAAAUCCAGUUUGACCAACGAGAACCAGAUGAUCCAUCGUCAUACCUUCUCGCCAUAUGGACACCAGGUAAGCUAACAUGAUGAAAUUGAAACAACAGAAACCCUUAGCAGAGGGCUUGAAACAUACUGAUCAAUGACUUUUUGAUGUAUAUUAUGGAAUGAAUAUAUGAAUCUUAUACCCGUGUGUGUGUCUACUCAUCAAUAGUUUUUUAAGUGUAAAUGGGAAAACCUCUCAAUAUCAGGUGAAACUAUAGACUCUAUUCAGCCACCAGAAAGAUCAUGCAGCUUCCAAGAAUCUGGCAAACUAUGUGAUCGGGAAACAUGCUUUUCGUGCAACAGCAUACGUGAAGCAAACUCCCAAACUGUUCGAGGCACACUACUGGUGAGGACGCAUCCUUUUUGUGCCUCUUACUUCAUAACAGUGUAAUUCCUAAUUUAUGAUGACCCCUGUGCACAGAUACCAUGUCGAACAGCUAUGAGAGGAAGCUUUCCGCUUAAUGGCACAUACUUCCAAGUUAAUGAGGUACACAAGUCCAGCAACAGUGAAAUCUUAUAGAUUCUAUGAACAAAAGCCUCAAAAGGAACUCACUAACUGCAGGUGUUUGCGGACCACGAAUCUAGCCUUAACCCAAUUGAUGUGCCAAGAAAUUGGUUGUGGAAUUUGCGUAGACGAACAGUUUACUUUGGAACAUCCAUACCUACCAUAUUUAAAGGUAAGUAAUAGUAGAGUUCAUUCAUCGUUUUAGUUAAUAACUAGUUCCUACUUCAUCCAAGGUAGUUCCUGGAGUACAUGACAUUUUUUGUUUUCUUGUUUAUUAGGACUGUCACAGGAGGAAAUUCAAUACUGCUUCUGGAGAGGUAACAAAAAAAAAAAAGAAAUCAAACACUUUUUGCAGUUAAUUCAGCAGCUUCAUUUGAAUUUUGGUAACUAAUUUUGUAGCAUUAUGUAGCAUGCACAAGGAAAUUACUUGCAAAAUUUAGUACAACUUUGUUUCUUCCGAAAUUAGAUGCUUGCUACUAGCUAUCAUAUCCUGAAAUGAGCAGUUCAAGCGAGGUUCAACAACAUAAUAGCAUCUUAUUUAAACACUUUGCUUCAUUUCUUAAAAGGUAACUUUAUCCUCUUAAACACAGUUCUCAUAUGUAUUGACUCCUAUUGACAGACAGAUUUUGGACUUCAAAUUCUACUAGUUCUUAUUUAUACAUCAUUAAGGUACUUAUUUAACAAGGAAAGUUUAAUUCUUAGACCUGCUCAACAAAAAUGUAGUUUAGACUCGUAGGAAAGAAGUGCUUGGCGUGCAAAACCAACCUUGCUGCUAGAAGGCGGACAAGAGAAAACUAUCUAUGGUUGGGCCAGAAAGUACCAGACAUGAUAAAUGUCAUAUUUUGUAAAGAAAAUUCUGGUCUUGCUAGCUGUGAUUCUCAUUCAUUGACCAAUGUGUAUUAACAGGAUCAAUAUGAUGCCUCAAUCAAGGAAACAAUCCACAAAGUAUGGAACCAUACGACAAUGAAUGUGUUAGAAGACCAAAAUACAUAAUUUCACAACCUAUUUCCUUUAGAAAUACUCCAUCUUAGAAAGUAUAAUGCGUUUCUAGCAUGCUAUCCCUAUUGGCAACGGUUAUAUCGCUUCCUUUUCCAGUUGCUUAAUGUAACCUCUGUGUUUGCUAGGGUUCGUGUGCUUGAGGGGAUUUGACAGAAGACACGAGCGCCUCGACCACUUGUUGCUAGACUACACUUCCCAGCCAGCAAGUUGACUAAGAAAAGAGGAAGGACAGAUGAAAGUUAAGCAUUGAUCCCUCACCAUUGCUGCAUUCUAUAAUAUUUGGUGACAUGGCACCAAACUAGAGGACUUGGAUUUUGAAAGAAGUAAACAAUAGUCAGCAAGUUUUGUAUAAAGGCAAUCACAAGGGAUUCGGCAUGUUUUAGCAUAAUGUGAUCGUUAAACUUUUGUUGUAUAGAGUCAAUUAACUUAAUGGAAAAGAGGCCGGUCAGCGAAAUUAGGUCAUGUUUCUUUACAUUACCACCUCGUUUCUUUAUAAUUGUCGUUUUUCCUUUUUGGAAAAUUGUCUCAAAUUUUGUUGGAUAUGGGAUGGCAUUUUAAAAGUGUGGUAAGACCAAUAGAUCUCCAGAAACGCUACAUGAUUUGGAAGCUUUUUAUGGAUAGUUUUGCUGGGAGUAUUAGAUUGAAUUUUGAGCAGCAAUGAGGUAUACAGAUGAAAAGAUGAGCUUAGUUUGGUCGGGUCUGAUUAGCAAACCCCAGCGCCAAGCUAGCAGAAGUAUAUCGCCAGUUAACGCUUCGGAAACUGACAGGACUAUAAAUUUCUAAUUGUUGUUGUCAGUUCUAAAAAUAGAGAUUGUUGCGGACUUUGACAUGUUUUCUCCCAUGAAAAUAAUUAGAUGUGCAGCCGUUUAACAACUCUAAAUUCUCAAGCCUUGACAGGUAUGGAACGGAUUCAGACACUUGCCCUUGGACUACUUUAUUUCCACAACAAGCGAUGAAUAGUUAGUUGCAGUUAAGUGGAAGCAAAAUCAAAACAAAAUCGUUGGAUGAAAGUAAGAUCAGAGACUGAUUCAGUUGAAGGAACAAAAAAGGAGUUAAUCAGCUCUGGAACAAACUGUCAGGUAAUCUAUCCAGCUAAGCCCCGUGAAACCUUAGCAAAUGCGAGAAACAAACCAGACGGAAAGUGGAGUAAAAAGAGGCCAAAAAGUUAGUAUGCGUAUUGAGGGUAAACUGAGGAUAGAGAGAGCAAAAGUGGAAAAGUUUCUCAGAGAUCCCCUCCACCGACCAAAAUUCAAUGACUGCUACCAUGACCGGACAUAUACUACUCAAAACAGGGAUAGGCGGUCCUCACGUUUUAGACUUGAAUAUAAUUUAACUCACAGGACAGGAGUAGCGAAAGGAGGAGAAAAAUAAGCGAAGUAUGUAAAUAGGGAGAGUUAGUUAAAGACACUUACCAAGCAGCUCUUUCGCCUUUUUGUUGGGAAUCUGGGAAGAAGCCAGGAAGUUUCUGCAGCUUCAAGAUGAACUGAGGUGCCCAGAAAUGCCUACGGAGGCCCAGAUAAAAACUGCAAAAGAAAAAAGGCGGUCACAGAUCUUAUGGCAGUAGAACUCGGAUAGAAGUGCCCCAACAAAAAAUUUGCAAUUACGACUUUCAAUCUCCAACCGAAUUCGAUCCCAAACACAAACUUCUAAAACAUACACAAAUAUGCGAACGACUUCCCGAUUCCGAUCUAAGUUCAGAACUGAUAUGACGGAUGAAAUGAAAGCUUGAAUACUUAAAUCUAAUCGAUUCAAACCAAAAUAACAACAGAUUCAGAGGUCCGUAGACUAUACGUAUACAGAUACAUGACUAACCCGUUUGAGCGGAGGCUGGAAUGGUUAUGGUGAACUGUAUCGAGGCCUGAAAUGAUGACUUGGAGAGAUCUAGGCUUGUUUGCUUUGCUGGGUGCAAUUUGGUUCGGCAAUUCUCGAUCCCUCAGUUCGUUUAUCUAUUUGUUUGUGAGACGGAAACAGGUUAAGAAAAAGAAGUGAGGGUUUUGCGCGUUUGGCAAUUUGCCGCUUUCCCGCAUUUGGAGUUCCCUCCAUUUUUUCCCUUCUGUUGCGUAGCAUUUAAAAUUCGCGCGCUAAGAGGCGAGUGGGGUGUUUUGACAUCAACGAAGUCAAAUGUGACUUCAUUAAUGCCUCUUUUUAACUUUAGAAAAUCAUCGCGUACAUUUAUCUAAUAACACUAUUCUGGUAAUUCUAUUUCAAAACUUAUCUUCUUCUCUAUUUGGGUGUACUAUACCUGCAAAAAAUUUUCAAAUAAGAAGAUAAUGCGAAUAGAAACUCUAUAUAAUUUUCAAAAAAAAAUGCUAGUAUAAUAAUUCAUCGAAUUUGACCUAUCUUCGUGUUUGGAUAGCUAAUCUUUUCUAAAUAAUAUUUUGCUUGAAUUAUACACAUAUUUUUUAAAUUCAUAUUUUAUUUCACAUAUAUCGUAUCAUAAAAAAUGUUACAGUAUUUAACAUAUCAAAUAAUACUCUGUCCAAAUAUAUUGUUAGACUUAUUGCAAAAGAUUAUGGGAUCCAUGACAAAAUUUUAUGCCCAUUCAACUAAUCAUUUUAUGUACAUACAUUCACGCACACAUACACCUAGGCUUCCAAACUUUCCAUUCAAAUAGGUUUCAAGUGGUGGAUAUCUAUAUCUAUAUAAAUUUGAGAAGGGAUUUUUAGCAACAAACCUUCACAAAUCUUCCCACUCUCAACUCUAUUUUUCUAGCAUUUUACAUUUAAUUUAUUUCGUAAAAAAUAUCAUGGGCACGUUACACCCCCCACGUUUCCCUCAAACAAGAAGUUAACUCCCACUAACACUCCUUACACACCUUACUCCAACUAACACUCCUCACCCACCUUCCCACUACAAUAAACAUUUUCGCAGAUCAUCUCCAUGAAGUCAAGGUAUACUGGUUUCAAAAUAUAUAUGUAAUUCUGACAGAUUUUAAAUAUCGGUUUGCACCACAUCAGUACCAAUUAUCAUUUGGAAACGAUACGAAUAUAGUGAAUAUUUUAGAUGAUUGUGGAACCAUACCCCGUUUCCAGUUUAAUUUGGUCAAACUAAGAGAUACAGAACAACACAUGGACAAUGAUUUGCAAUUGAUAGGUAUUUCAUUCUUAAUUAACCAUACUUAUAUUUAAGUUGUAUAUACCAAUUAUCAUUUGGAAACGGUACGAAUAUAGUGAAUAUUUUAGAUGAUUGUGGAACCAUACCCCGUUUCAAGUUUAAUUUGGUCAAACUAAGAGAUACAGAACAACACAUGGACAAUGAUUUGCAAUUGAUAGGUAUUUCAUUCUUAAUUAACCAUACUUAUAUUUAAGUUGUAUAUUUGAACUGGUAUUACUUAUACUUUUUGAUCUUUUGCAGAUGUAAUUGGUUUAGUUGUAUCUGUUGGUUCAACACUAUCAAACAUCUAUCAAUGAUAAAACUAAGUGUGACAUACUUUUACUUGACAAAAGGUUAGUUAAUAGAUUCAAUAUCUUUAAAAUAUUUUAUAUUCUGCAAAUUUUGAUUUAUACUUACCAAAAUUCUCUAAAUGAAGUUUGACAGUAGUUCGGUUGACUUUAUGUGAUAAAUUUGCAACUGAUGAUGGUGAACACUUGCCUCAAACUGUUACAAAAAACAAUGUUUUGCUAGCCUAUGGUAUUUGUGUGAGAAAUUAUAAAAGUAAUUCAAUUUAUUUUCACUUUAUUUUAUUUAAUUUUUAUAGUUUAUCAAUAAUAUGCACACUAGUGAAUACCUGUGCUACGCACGGUGCUGGCAUUCUUGAAAAAGUAAAAAUAAAAUGGUGAAUAAAAAAAGUUUAAAAAUUGUACCAACACAAUUAAAAUGUAAUAUCUGUCUAACAAUAAUUUGAAAUAUGAUAGAAUGUACAUAUCAUUCAAGGACUUUUUUUUUUAUGAAGAUAGAUCCUAAAAAAAUAAUAGAAAUUUAUUUUAGAAAAUGAAUGAUAUAUGAACAAAAAUGAAUGUAAUUGAAUGUUGUUAAAAUGAAAUACUUACAAAUAUUAUGCAUUCGAUUUGAUAAAUACAAAAAUCUAUAACUUACUACUUGUUCCGUUCUUGGAAUUUUUUUUAGGAUUAAAUAUAGUAAGCCCCUUAACUUUUUACCCCCUCAGCUUUACAUUUAGUUACACAUUUGUGAUUUUUUUGAAACGUGAUUGUAAUUUGCAAAGCUCAUUUGUAGGGGUGGUUGUAGGGUUAGUUUGGGGAUAAAUAUUUCUUAAUUAUAAAAAUGUAACAUUGUAUUAAAAUAGCAUUCGAAUGAGCAUUUGUCUUUAAUUAAGGAGUAAAAAGGAUUUAAAGUAUAAAUAACAAAGUAUAAAUAGUUUAUGAAAUAGAUAGUGGGAAUGUUUUAAAUUUUAAAUUUGAUUGGUGAUAGGGUUGGUUAUACCCACUACUCUUUAUGUAUUAAAAUAAAUACAAAAAUCUAUAACCCACUACUUGUUCCGUUCUUGAGAUUUUUUCUAGGGUUAAAUAUAGUAAACCCCUUAACUUUACAUUUAGCUGCACUUUACCUCCUCAACUUUACAUUUAGUUGCACUUUACCUUUAGUUGCACAUUUAUGAUUUUUUUGAAACGUGAUUGUAAUUUGUAAAACUCAUUUGAAGGGUGGUUAUAGGGUUAGUUUGGGGAUAAAUAUUUUUUAAUUAUAAAAAUGUAACAUUGUAUUAAAAUAGCAUACGAAUGAGCAUUUGUCUUUAAUUAAAGAGUAAAAAAGAUUUAAAAUAUAAAUAACAAAGUAUAAACGGUUUAUGAAGUAGAUAGUGAGAAUGUUUUAAAUUUUAAAUUUGAUUGGUGAUAGGGUUGGUUAUAACCCACUACUUUUUAUGUAUUAAAAUAAAUACAAAAAUCUAUAACCACCUACUUGUUCCGUUCUUGAGAUUUUUUUUAGGGUUAAAUAUAGUAAACCUCUUAACUUUACAUAUAGUUGCACUGUACCCCCUCAACUUUACAUGUAGUUGCACAUUUGUGAUUUUUUUGAAACGUAAUUGUAAUUUACAAAGCUUAUUUGUAGGGGUGGUUAUAGGGUUAGUUUGGAGAUAAAUAUUUCUUAAUUAUAAAAAUGUAACAUUGUAUUAAAAUAGCAUACGAAUGAGCAUUUGUUUUUAAUUAAGGAGUAAAAAGGAUUUAAAGUAUAGAUAAUAAAGUAUAAACGGUUUAUGAAGUAGAUAGUGAGAAUGUUUUAAAUUUCAAAUUUGAUUGGUUAUAAGGUUGAUUAUAAUUCACUACUUUUAUGUAUUAAAAUAAAUACAAAAAUCUAGAAAAAAAAAUGAGAAGUUUAGAAGCCAUUGAGAGGGUCUCUGAUAAAAACCCCUUCCUCAAUACAUAUAGACAUAGAUAUAGAUGUUUGCAAGUUACGAACUACAUCUGAUACAAAACACGUUUCCAAUUUACAAAGAUUGCAGGUUCGCUUCAUUUUUACUACAAUUUUACAUUUUUUUUAUUUAGUAAUCUCUAUCACUUAACCAACGGAUAACUAAUAGUACCAAGUAACUGAUAAUGAAAUCAACACUAUGAAAAAUCACAUAUCGAAAAUUAAGGAGUCCAUUUGAAUUACAAUUUUUCAUAAUUAUUCACAACAACGGGUGAUCGCUAACCUAUUUUAUUCUCAUUUGCCAUCCACACAAACCAAAUACACUGAGGGAAAAAAAAAGUAGUGUUUCUGAACUAUACUAAAAUUUUCAAAUGAACGAUUCGUAUUUCGUUGUGAUGCUUCUUAUUUUAGAAAAAUUGCAAUGGAUGGUAGAAUUUCUUGAUAUAUAUAUAUAUAUAUAUUGUGAUACUAUUUAUAAACCAUGUAAAAUAUACACUAAUUUCAAAUUCCAUAUGCUUUUAAUUCUCAAAAAAAUGGGGAUAAGCUGUUCAACCAAUGAAUUAAUUCAUGCAAAGAUUGUGCAUUCUCAUUUGUAACACGAACUCCACAAAAUUCAACAGAGUAAAUUAAAUCACCAAUAUUGCAUUUCGUACUGAAGAUUAAUUAGUAUGCAGAAUGUUCGCACCUUCAUACAAAAAUUAUCAAAUCGAAUGCAUAAUGUAUGUAAGUAUUUCAUUUUGAAAUCAAAUAAAGCAUGUGAUUACAUUCAUUUUUAUUCAUAUAUCAUUCAUUUUCUAAUAUAAAUUUUUAUUAUUCUUUCAAGUUCCAUCUUCUAAAAAAAGGCAGUUUCUUGAAUAAUAUAUAUAUAUUUUUUUUAUUAUAUUUCGAACUAUUGUUAGACAAAUCUGAUAUUUUAAUUAUGUUGGUACAAUUUUUUAACUUUUUUUAUUCACUCUCUUUUUUAAUUUCUUUUAAUAAUGUCAGUACCGUGCAUAGCACGGGUAUCCACACUAGUAAAACUAAUUAUUGAGGUUGUACAUCUAUACGAGCCAUCCAUUUCCACUUUCACACUUCGAAGAAAAAUAUAUCAGUUUUAGCCUCAAAACAAAUGAUUGGUCGAGAAAUUUCACAACAUAUUUUAUUACAUGCUUUAUAUAACUGUCUCAAGUUACGUGCUCUUCCCCAAAAUAAUAAACUCUGUUUUUAUAGGAUGGAUGGAGCAUGUAGAGCUAUGGUUCCAUUUUGAAUCCAAAACUACACUGGACCGAACAAUACUUGAUACGGGAAAAAAAAAAAAUCCAAAUCGAGAAUCGAAACCAGAGAAAAAAACAUAGGUAAAGAUUCCAAUUCUACUCCUCUAAAAAUGGAAUAAAAAUCGAAACUGAUUCUGGUUUAAAUCGCAUUAAAAGAAAAAUGAAAACAUCAUGUAUCCUUUUCUUAUACUCACUUUUUCUUUUCUUUGUUGGAUUAUGGGCUAGAAUUGGAGUUUGAAUUUCUUUAAUUUUCAUCUUUUGGAGUAAUGAAAAACUCGUGAUGAAUGGAUCUUCUCCAGCCUUGAAACUUGUCAAAAGGGAAAAAUAGAAAACAAAAGGGAAAACUUCCGGAAAUGCUGCGCCAUAGCUUGUAAACGGGUUUCUAAUCUAGUAAACAUAGCAAUCAAGUUGCAGCAUCAAUAAUUAUUCCCGUCACCAAACGCACAUUUGAAGUGGUCCAUGAGGCCUUCGCAUGAUUUUCUAUUUAAUUUUGUUCAUCCUUCACUGUAUUUAAUUACUUUUUUAAAUUAAUUUUUUAUUUUUUAAAAAUAUAAUAUUUUAAUAAGCAUUUUAUGGACAGGACACCCGUCAAACAAAUCGUCUUAAAAAGAGAUGUUAAUUGUGCAACGGGGGUUUAUACUUUGACUAUUAAAUUCACCUCUUUCACAUUUAUCACAGAGGCUUAGAAUCUCCUUUGAAAAAGAAAAAUGUCGAUUAAGAUCGUCAAAAUUGAACGCAUCCAGAUCCGAUUUGCUUGUUGAACUUAGAAUUGUUAGGGACGCAUCCGCUAAUCUUAAGCGUCAAAAGCACGGGAUGCCAAAAUAGCGCGUGGAAAAGCAAAAGCCGCUUAACGUUUCAAGAUUUCGUUACCUUUCCCUUUUUAAUUUGGCUUUGAAUAGAUCUCACGGAAAAGCCAACUGAUUUCCGCCCCCCAUUGGCAAAAAAUUCAAACCGCCGCGUUUUUUUUUUACGGGCACAAUUGAAUUAAUUGGCCACAAUCGGAUAAAGCGAAACCGAAAACAUUCCAUGGCUCACGCGCAUAAUUAUGACUGUCCAUGCUUUGACUUGCAACUGCAAAACAAUCCUGACUUCCUUGAUAAAAGCCAAUCGUCUGACCAAAGCCCAGGCAAAUCCCAAGAAUUCAUCUCUUUUCCCCUUCUCAAUUUCGUAAAACACCAAGGGACCACUGUAGCGGCGUAAAUAAUCAAUUUACCAUAUUGGUAACGAACUUUCUGUACUUUUUUUGACCAUCGUUUUCAUGUCACAUAUAUAUAUAUAUAUAUAGUACAUACAUACAUAAUUAUAUAUAUAUAUAUUCCAACAAAACGAUUACAGUAAAAAGUUUCAACAAAAUGCUCCUUAAAAAACAAUUAUUCAAAUAAAUUGUUUUUAAAAAAAUUGUUUUGACAAAGCAGAAUUUAUUAAGCAUCACAAUAGGAGUUCAUAACACAUAAGUCUAUCAUUAUAGACCUGCCAAAGUGCUAAAAUAUUUAGAUACUAGCUAGCAUUACGUUAGUCAAUUAUCAUAAUAUCAUUGAUGAGUAUAAUGGCUGGCUGGUCAUGGUAUCACUAAAAAUGCUAAGAGGCAAAUUUAUCUUUUGCAGAUUCCCAUUGAAAAAUUUUUAAAUUGUUCAAAAUGCUCCAACUAGGCACGAGCGAUAGAUUUAUCUUUACACUCUCUUUUAAAUUUCUACGGGUUCAAAACCUCUAUAAAAAUAUAGAGAAAAUAGUUAAAAACAUGCCUCACAUUUUGACAAAUAAAUUUUUUGAUAAUUUGUUUUUAUAAUAUUAAUUUUACGUUUCUUACUAGUAUAAGUCAACAAAAUUUGGUCCUAACUUAAAUUUCUGAUUACUUUUUAGUUUGAAUCAACGUAUGAUCCGCAUGCAUCAAUCAUUGUUUUAUGUACAAAAUGGUCAAAUCCCAUCAUUUUAAUGAUAAAAAAUGAAUAUGGAUUGAAUUAAAUACCAUUUUUUUAGAUAAAAAAUGGAUAUGAUUCGUAUCAUUUUAUAUUUUUUGAGGAACAAAAAUGAAUAUGAAUUUGAUCUUUUAUUUAACUACAAAUGAAAUCUAAUAUUUUUAUUCUAAAAAAUUUGAUCACGUGAGAUCGCACGUUAUAUUUAGUGUAAAAAGUGGAUUGAAAUAUAGGUUGGGAUUAAAUUUUAUAAAAUUAAUUUAAUAAGAAAAAUAAAUUUAUCAUUUCAAAAGUAAAUAAUGAAAAAUUUUAUUUAUCGGAUGUCCCCGAAGGACUAAUAGUCUCAGAUCAAAACUAAAACGACAUGAGAAAAUUAUACUGUAGUAGGUAUUAAUUAAGACUAGGAAGGAACUAAAACAGCAUUCGUAUUAAUUUAAGUACCAAAUUGCCAUGGUAUUAAGGUUAAGCCAACCGAAACCUCCUGUCUCUCUCCGACAAGAUAGCGAAAGAUAUACCAAAAGUUCCUUAUUCCUACACAGAGCUAACUAUGCAUCAGUCUUAGCAAUGGCUGCUUUUAGGGUUUCCAGGGUUUUGUGAAUUUAAUUUUUGGCACAUUAACUUUCGAUGGAAAUGCCAGGCAGGCGAUCGAACUACACCUUGUUGAGUCAAUUUCCACCCGAGGACCACCCCACCAACAGCCAUCGAAGCACUCCGCCGUGACAGGUGGAGGAGCAGGAGUAGGAGGUGUGGCUUAUUACGAGUCUCACUCCGUGGAUAAGAGUAAUAAUAAAGGGAAAGUGGACAGAGGCGUAUUCGAUUGGGAUUUAGUCGAUCAUAAGAUGCAGAGUCGGAUGGGGACCACGGAGGGUUUCCUGGGUCGGUGGGGCUGCAGAGGCAGUCGAGUGGGAGUAGCUUCGGGGGCAGCUCGAUCUCGGGGGAGUUUUACGGUGGACCAUCGCUCUCGAAUCAUGAGUCGGCGUUUGGGCAUUGGACGAAUGACGGUGGUGGUGUUGCCGAAUUGAGGCUCAAGGCGGCGGAUGCCUCUGGCGGAGUCGGCCCUGGGUCAUCGUCUUCCAAGAGCUGGGCGCAGCAGACAGAGGAGAGUUACCAGUUGCAGCUCGCCUUGGCACUUCGACUUUCAUCCGAAGCCACGUGCGCUGACGAUCCUAAUUUCUUGGAUCCCGUGCCUGAUGAAUCCGCUUCGAGGGCUUCAGCUUCGCCUGUGCCAUCAGGAGCCAUGUCGCAUCGAUUUUGGGUAUUUUUAUCUCAGAUUUGUCCUCUUACUCUAUGCUAUCUGUUUGAAUCUUUGCUUUUCUGGUGGAGUUAAUGAUGGUAGGUUUUUGUGCUAUCAAUUGGUUUAAUAUAGCAGUAUUUUAACCAAAGGUAUUGCUUGCAAUUCGGGAUUUUGAUACAGUGGAUGUUUCAAUAAAAAUUUAGCCAAGAACUGUUCCUGGGCUUUUGACGAUCAGAUUAACAGGCAUUGUGAAACAGCAGAUAGUUGGUAAUAGAAUAAUUGCUUAAACUUGGUCCAUGAUGAGGUGAGCAUGUUGUAAAUAGUCCAAGGAAGAAAAAUAGUUGAUGACAUUUUACUGAACUUAUUGAAAUAGUUUUGUCAUGGAGUUAUCAAUAUUCUACUGAUACUGCUCAAGUGAUUUCCAAAUCCUUCCCUUGUUCCUUUUGCCCUUUCCCAUCUACAACUUUUCCAACCCUGCACAUCUUAUAUUUCCUGUCUGAGGUUUCUGCUUUCUUAAUGCUGUGUAUCAGGUAAAUGGCUGCUUAUCUUAUUUUGACAAAGUCCCUGAUGGGUUUUACUUAAUUCACGGAAUGGAUCCAUAUGUAUGGAAUGUAUGCUGCGACCUGCAAGAAAGUGGUCGUAUUCCAUCAAUUGAAUCAUUGAAGUCUGUUGAUCCUAACAUUGUACCAUCAGUUGAGGUGAUUAUAAUUGACAGGCAUAGUGAUCCCAGCUUGAAGGAAUUGCAGAAUCGGGUUCAUAGCAUAUCAUCUAGUUGCAUCACCACUAAGGAUGUUGUUGACCAGCUUGCAAAGCUAGUUUGCAAUUACAUGGGGUGAGUUUCAGAUGUCCCUCUUGAGAAAUUCCUCUGAAUUCUCUGUUUGGAGAUCUAAUAUUGUUGUCAUUUUCUUCUCGUUCCUUCACAAGGGGUCUAGCUUCCACUGAUGAAGAAGACUUGGCUCCCAGAUGGAAGGACUGCAGUGUUGACCUAAAGGAUUGUUUAGGGUCUGUUGUACUUCCAAUUGGUAGCCUCUCUGUCGGCCUCUGUAGGCACCGGCUCUGUUAUUCAAGGUAUAUUCUUAGAUCUAGAGUUUCAAGUGUGUUAAAUUGGAGGCAUACUUGAUGAUUUCUUGACUAUCUUUUUGUCACUAAGGCUGCCAUUAUAUAUUUAUUAUACAUUAGGCAUGCCUUUUCCCUUUCUCUUUCCGGUUAUAUCCUUUUAUUCUUCUUUUUUAACCUGUUGUUUCCUGGAAUUAGCAUGUCAACAAGGAAUUGGAACAGGAAACCUUCUUGAAAGAUGGUUUGGUUCAGAGCUUGAAGUGUUAAGAGAAAGUAAAAUAAAAAAAUUUGCGUGCUAGUAUCUCUGAAAUAGAUAUGAAAUAGUCAUGAAGAAAGCAAACAACAAAUGGAUGUUCCACUUUUAUGUGCUGUCCUGUAAGGCAAUUGAAUAUGAUAUGAUUUGCAUAAGCUAGGCAUUGAGGCUUGUUUGAAAUGACCUAGAUGGCAAUUUCAAAGUAGAUGAGUUUCAAAUAAAUCAUAGGUACAUUAUGUUGAUGAAGAAAAAAAGUGAAAUUUCUGCUUGUAGAUAUCUGAUUUAUCAUGCGUAACAAGUAAAGGUAAUGCCUCCGCCUUGCAUUGGAGGAAAUUUAGCAUUGAUUGCAUGUAUUGGCUUACCUAUGUAAUCUCUUUUCUAAAUGAUUGAUUUGUUCUCAUCAUGACUUUCCCUUUCCCUACGUUUAUUGUUAUUGAAAACGUAAUACUUUGCAUGCUUGUAUGCUCACUUUCAGUUUUCUAACAUCUUUUUUCCUCUUUUGCCCUCUAUUUAUCCCUUUCUUAUCUGACGAACGAUAUAGAUUUGGUUGAAAAUGACUGUUAUACAUCUCUCUCUGGGUUUUCUGCUUUUAAAGAUUGAAUUCAAAAGUCUAAACAGUUUAAAGUAAUAUUACCUUACUUCCUAUACUAAGAUUUCUGGCUUUAUUGUUUGCUGAGAACUGACACUAAUAAUACAAGAUCAAUAAGGUCCUUGUAUAAACAAUAUUUUGGAAAUUAGGGUGUUGACUUUUGGUUAUGCCGAAAAAAAAAAAGAAGGGGUUCAGGCGUGUCAAUUUUUUGAAGUUUGUUUUUUAAUUAAGGCCCUUUUUAUUUACCUUAGCUUCUUUUCGCUUCAAGUUAGUGAAUUGUAAUUCAUUUUGAAAGUAUUGGAAGUGUAUGUGACAGGAAGAUUCAUUUGUGUUCAAUACAGAAUUUUAAUUCCCACAAAAGUGGCUUUUUAAUGUGUAUAAAAAUGAUUUUUGCAGGUGCUGGCUGACAGUAUUGAUCUACCUUGUCGAAUUGCUAAAGGAUGCAAAUAUUGUUUUAGGGACGAAGCUUCUUCAUGUCUUGUUAGAUUCGGGCUUGAAAGGUAGACUAUUGGAGAUAUAUAGUGACAUUGGUGAUACUUUAAUUUGGUUCAGUUUUCACAGAAUGCAAUAUCUCUGACUAAUGAAGAGAAACAUCAUCUCCAAUGUGUUCCUUCAUGCAUAUGUGACUUGCACUAGGGUGGUUCACCAAUACAAAGAACAUUUACUUUUUUGAACAAACAUCUCCAGAAAUUUUGUUUUUUUUUUGUUGUUGUUGUUGUUUUUGUUGUCCUCAUCAGUAGAUGGUCAACAAGUUGGUAGUAUGUGUACGUUUUAUUGGACUGAUUUACUUUUCUCCCUUUGCCUUUCCUAUUAUAGAAGAAGAAAGGUGGAAAAGGUUUUUAUUGUACUGAGUGUGGUCUUUCCAAAUCAAUUUUCUGCUGACAACUUUUCUUGUUACUUGGAGGAUAAGGGUCAGACCUUUUGGAGAUAUCAGAGCUUUCACACAGGAUUUGUGUUUAACUUUUAAGGAUAUUUAGGCUGCCUAAAGAGGUCAUUGGCAUCUUCCAACAGCAUUGUUUUAUUGAUGUUUCUGGAGAAGAGUUAAUGGGGAUUAUCAACAGUCAAGUUGAAGUUGAAGUUAAUGGGGUUUUUACUUAUAUAUAGAAUCAUUUCAGAAAUUGAGAUUUUCUCAAGCAGCUUGGUUUCGGAGAAACCAACAACCAAAUCCACCUAUCCUUCGCUAGAAAUUACAUUAUACAUGCAACUUGCAUUAUCAAAAUAUACUCAGUCUAAUGCUGCUCAUUUGUGUGGAUGCAUCUGUCUGUGUGAUAAAAGCAAGUCUUUUUUGAUAGUGAUUGAUAGUGACCUGUAUUGGUAUUGCUACAGGGAGUAUCUUGUUGAUUUGAUUGGGAAUCCUGGAUGUUUAUGUGAGCCUGAUUCAUUGUUGAAUGGUCCAUCUUCCAUCUCAAUUUCUUCGCCAUUGCGCUUACCUCGAUUUAGACAAGUUGAUGCUACAAUUGAUUUCAGGUCACUGGCCAAACAGUAUUUCUCUGAUUGUCAGUCACUUAAUCUCGUAUUUGAUGAUUCUUCAACAGGUGAUCAUUUCUUUAUCCUGAAAAUUCCUCAACUCACCUUUUUCCUCUCUCUUCUCUAGGAGAUUGUAUUGGCAUUAUUUCUGUUCAAGUAAUAAAAAGUACCUAAAGGGGAGUAUUUUCCUUUUCUGCUUCAGUUUGCAUUGCCUUAGUACUUUGCAUUGCUUAGCUGUAUGAGAUUUAGUAUUUUUAAAUGGAUAUCUCUUUUCCAUUCAUAGUACCUUUUUCUGGUCUGAGCAUUUAUGUGUGUGUGUGUGUGUGUAUAUAUAUAUAUCUUGUUUUCAUAUAACUCAGCUUUCUUGCUGAAAGAUGGUAUUUCUUCUUAUGUUGGUGCUGCCGAUAUUAAUUCAUGUAAUCUUUCUUCUUUGGCCAAAAUAUUUUAGUGUUCGCAAGUAUUAUUUGGAUGGCAAGGAAAUCUCAAAAAUAUUUCAUACUCUUUGAUGAAUGUCUAAGGUGCUUGCUUUAGCUUUUAGUUCUUUAAAGAUAUUUCAUACUCUUUGAAGAUAUUAAUUGUUCAUUACCAAAAAUGCCUUGGUUCUUAAAGUUUGGCUUUGUUUUAUUGUAAGUACUAUGUUCCAAAUGUUUCCUGAAAGUAGACAACAAAGUUACAGUAUCCAAUAUUUUCUCUUGGUUGGAGGCAACAGUUUUAGUGUUGCUUAUCUGGUUGUUGGUUAGAUAUCAGUUAGUAUGAAGGCUUAGAAUUUUUAUGUGUUGAUCUAUAUUGAGAGUAUUGCAGGAGCUACUGUUGAAGAUGAUGGAGACUCCACAUAUCAUAAACAGUCUGAUAGAAUUAUAUGGACAGAAACAGUGGUACCCUAGUUCGAGCAAUCAAGAUGAAAUUCAAAAUCCUGGAUAAAGGGUCGGCUUAAAGAAUCACAGGUUUCCAAAUUCCCUAACGCUUAUAAUAUCAUGGGCUCAACCAAUAUGGCUUUAUCUGCACAGCACAUUCCUUCAUUUGGGCAUAGACCGCCUAGAGCUCUACCAGGACCUAGGAUGGAUGCUAUUAAAGAUCCGAGGUUUGUUGACAGAGGUCAACUGGUUCCUAUGGCAACCAGUGGGGAACUUAACCUUGACGUGGAAGACUUGAACAUCCCUUGGAGUGAUCUUGUUUUAAAAGAGAGAAUUGGAUCUGGUAUUUUCUCUAUGCUGAUCUAAGUGUUUGGGUUCAGGUUUUGUUUUAGGGUGGUAUUCCCAGUUUAAAAUCAAUUCAUAUAUGUUUAUGCUCAUCAGAGUAACUGGCUCCAAUUUUCAGGUUCUUUUGGUACAGUUCAUCGUGCUGAUUGGAAUGGAUGUGUAAGAUAUAUGUCCUAAUAUUGGACAAAGAUUGAAAUUUUUUUAUUAGUGAGAGAAUUUAAAUUCAAGACAUAUUACUUAUAAUCUCUCAUCUCUUACCAAUCAAUUCAGUCCUCUCAUAAUAUUAGAAUUUUAAUGAAUUUUAAGUCAGAGGUACAUGUAUAAUUGUUUAAUUAACCUUUUUUUUUAUUGUAAAUGUCAAGAUUUUUUGCUUAUUAAGUCAAUAAACGUGGGCUUUCGGGUGACAAUUGUCUCCAACAAUGUUGGAGUAGCUCCAAAAAAGUAUAGUGUUUGACUUACAAUUUUUAUAUCUAUCGUUAAUAAUUUUAAUAUUAAAUUAUAAAGCUCGUACCUAUAUAAUCACAAAAAUAUUACACGUGUGAGUGUGAAGUGUCCCGCAAUUAUUAGUAUACAAACAAUUUGAUACUUUUUGUUCAUUGGCUUUUGGAUAAGGUUGGCGGCGGCGGCGACAGUGGAAUGACAGUUGUUACACCAAUAAGAAAUUUUUUAAAAAAUAAAGGUCAACACUCAAAAUAUUUUUGUUGUUUAUCGACAAAUUAUUAAAUAUGAGAGUCGAAGACGUUAAAUUCAUAGCCCUCCAUGUAACGAUAAUGUUUUUAAAUCAUUAUAAAAAAAGAUAUUUUUUUAAAAUAAAUUUAUAAAUUUUAGAAUCAUAUUCCAGUGUAGCCGAUUGUCCGAAAAGACCAGCUAAGUAUCAUUUCCUAUCUUUUUGAUAUCCUUUCUUUUUAUUCAUCGCAUUUCUGGAUUUGAUUAGUGCUAGACAUGCUUGAUAUUUUUGCUUUACUGAGCCAGGUUAACCAAAUAACCCCCUGGUUAUUGUAAUAAUUCUAAACAACCACUCUUCUGUUCAUCUCAUUUUCUGAGUUGUCUAAUAUUUAUAUGCAUUUCUCUCUAGAACAAUGUCAUGGCUUUGUUCUCAAAACUAAUGCAAUAUCAUGGUUUUGUUCUCAAAACUAAUGCUAUUUUUUUUUUCUUAAUAUGCAUCUUUAAAAUAUUAAUUUUCAGGUAAUAGCAAUAUAUGAUACAAAAAGCAACUUAAAAGCAAAGCACAUCUGAUCUUCUUCCGUUAGAGGCUUCAAAGGAAAAAGAGAAAAAUUUGAACUCAUUCAAGAAAUAAAGUUGACAAAUUGAUAGUAGUCUCAUAAUUAUCUAGCAUUAUAGUACCAUGAGCUACAGCCUAUUUAUGGGCACGGAACAAAUAAAAUAUUUAAGGAAAGAAAACAACGGAAAAAACCCUGAAAUUGACAAUAACUUGCGCCCAAGUCCCAACCAAGCGUUCGGUUCUGGGGCCUUGUAUCAACCGUCGCGGUUUGAGCAACAACAUGGAAAUUACUAGAAAAUAAAGAAAUAAAUAAAAUACUGAAAUAAUAAUAGAGAGCUACACUAAUUUUAGUCAUACUUAAAGAAUGUAAAAGGUUUCAUGAACAACAUUGUUAAGCAUAUAUUGUUAGAUUCAAGAUCCAGGAUUUCAUGUUCCGCAUAAGUAUGAAAACCGAUAAUCCUUUAGUGGUGCCUUUCUAGAGUCUCAAGAAUGAAAAUUAGAUGCUCUAAAAACAAUAACGAUCACAGCACCAAAAAUAAUACUACUACUAAUUACUAAUAAUGGCUCUGUUCAAAACUUCAAGCAUUAAGGAAGUUUUACUGUUGGCAAGAAGCAAAAAUUUAGGCUCUGUUUGGAUUAGUUAUUUUUGGGAGUAUUUAUCAAAAAUUUUGUUAUAGCUGUGUAUAUGAAAAAUUUUUACUGUAAAUGUUUUUUGAAUUGUUCUUAGAAAUAUUUUUAAAAUAUAUUUUUGAGUGUAUUUAUAAUUUAUAAUUUUUUUGAGAUAUUUUUUUAUAAUUUUACACGACCCACCACCACCACCACCCUCUUCCUUUUCCUCCCUUUCUCUCCUUUCUGUUCCUCUCCUCCUUCCCUCUAUUUCCUCCCCUUCCUUCUCCUCCCUCCUCUCUCUUUCCUCUCCCUUCUCCUCCCUAACCCCUCUCCCGCUUGCAGGUGGUGGCUGCGACUUUAGCCACCACUUUAACCACAACUGUCUUGAUCGCGAUUUCUGAUUACAAUCAAAUUUGAUCAUUACUAGAAAGGUUACAGUUAGUGGAAGGAAAAGAAAUUGAGGGGCGGGGAAAGGGAAAGAAAAAAGAAGAAAGAAGAAGGAGAGGGAGGAGGAGGACAGAGGGAGGAAAGAUGGGCAGAGAGAGAGAGAGAGGAUCAUAGAUAUGGAGUGGUGGUCGUAGUGGUAGAGAGUGAUGGAUAGUGAUGUAUUUUUUUUUAUAUAUUUGGAGUUAUUUUUGAUAUAUUGUGUGGAUAUAAUAUUUUUAAAAUUAUUUUUAUUUGUAUAUUACUGUAGUAUUGUAUAUGAAAAAAUUAUUUUUCAAAAAUUGAGGAAUCCAAACAAAGCGCUAGGUAUUCUCAUCACAAUUUAGCAUUUAUUAGUAUAUUUACACACUCAAAAAUGAUAAUAAUCAAUUUCGAAGAUGACAUUAUACCUUGGCCCUAACACAGAUCCUGUAAGGAUUUCUUUCAUAUAUAAAAUGGUUCGACAUAAGCAUGAUGUUACCAAUUAAGACAUGUAAGAUAUAACCUACUACAUUAACACUUAGAAGUGUAAUCUAGUCGAAUCAAACUCAAAUUAAAAAAUUUGAACUUGAGCGUGAACUUAAACUCAUCAAGCUUUUAAAAAUUCAACUCAAGCUCAAGUUUGAUUUUAUUUUACAUUACUCGAAUUCAAACUCGAGUUCAUGCUUAUUACACCCAAUUGAACUUGUUUCGUGCUUAAUCAAGUUUAAGAAAUACAAAUUUAUAUUUUUAUAUAAUUUUACACAAGGGACAAAAUAAACAUUUCAUAUUCAUAAAUAAAAAAUAAAAAAUACAUAUAUAUGUGAAACUUAAUUAAGUUCAAUUAAAUUCAAUGAACUUUAGAACUUCAUAUAUUAAAUUCAAACUUGACUUUCAAGUAAUUUUAACCACUCAAACGCAAUCAAUGCGAGUUUGAACUCAAGUUUUGACCUAGUAAACUCACAAACUACUUGAUUAAGUUUAACUUAUUUGUACUCACAUUAACACUUGCAUAAAAAAGAAACCAUAUUUAGAAAGACAUGCACUUAUGGUUGUCAUGAAUGAUAAUUUAGCCAAAAGGGGAAAAUUACCAUUUUGCUUGCUUAUUUUCAAAGUAUCCAAUAUGCUUUUUGUAUAUAGUUAUGGAUAAGAGAUGGGAAUAAUUAUCUAUACAAAUGCUCUUGAAUAGUAUAAUGACUAGUGGUAAAAGGCACACCUAAUAUGUGUGCAAUUUAAAAAUAAAUUGUUUCUCAUAUAAACUUAUUUUAUGUAGAAUUUUUUAUUAAUGAACAUGACUUUGCUCAUUUAAGAUUUUUUUUUCUUAAGAGAGUAAUUUUGUUGUAUAUAUAUGAAUAGUUAUAUUGGAAAGAUAUGUUCUAGUAUUUACAAUGAAAAUAAGUUGUAGUCAAGAUAAAAUUUAAACCCUAUGAAGGCAAAAAUAAAAGUGAUAAAAAAAAUGUUUACAUCAAAACUCAAAAUUCCCACUUUAUAUUUGUACAAAUAGUUAACAAUGAAUUAGAAUUUGUUAAUAAGGUAUUACAUUGUUUAAGGACAGUUGCUCACUGUUGCAAGCAGUCUUGCCCCUUACUCGUGUGACGCGAGUAACCAUAUAUGAUUUAUUCUAUAAUCUAAAUAUAUGAUCAAUGUAAAACAUUUGAUAGUAGUAACUUGAUAGGAAACUCAAGGUCACACAAAUUGCAUGUGUCCCUCAAAACCAAACAAUUAGCAAAAAUAAAUCCAUUUUUCUCUUUUUCUUCUACUUUUUCCAAUUUUUUUGACCAAUUUCCCAAAUUGGCAAACAAAACCUUAAUCAUGAAGAUUCUCCAAAAUGCCACACGAGAUUCUUAGACUGCCAUUUUUAAAUAUUAUCCAAUUUCUCUAAUUUUUGCGGUCCUCAAUUUUUUUCAAAGCUUUUCAUUAUAAUAAUCUUCCACUCUAUACAAAAAAUCUUCCUAAUUGCUCAUAGGAAUGAAUUUGUACAACAAGUGUUUAUGAUUUAUUUAUCCAACAAAGAAAUCAGAGAAGGUAUAUUGAGAAAAUGCGAAGAUAAAAAAAAUAAAUCAAGGUCUUGUUUGAAAUAUAAACGAAAAGAUAUGUUAGAUGGUACAAAAUGAGUGUAAGUAAAAAGUUUUGAAUUUGAAUAUUUCUAUUGAUACUAAAAAAAAAAAAGUUGUUUGAAAUGCAAGUUUUCUCUAAAAAAUUUUAUAUUUUUUGUAAACUCAUUUUUCGAUCACAUUUUUAUCUCACAUAUAUCAAAUAAUUUUUAUAAUAUCUUUUUUUUUAUAUAAAAACUCUAAAAAGUAACAAUUCAAAUGAACUCUAAAUUUUGAUUUUAUUUUAUUUUUUACUAUUUGUUUAGUUGCAUUAGUCACAUGCAAUUCAUAUGUUUGUUCCCGUCAAAAUGAAAUAGUUGCUAUAACAGUAACAACAACGAUGAUAAUACUAAUUGAAUAAUUUAACACGACGAAUCAUAAAAUAUGAAUCGAGCGAUAUAGGACCCACAGAAUACCACCAUAGCCGUAGUUGGGCGCAAAAGAUCCUGUUUCCCUCCAUGUUCGAUGAAUAACCGAUUUUUGAAUAGAAAUCCCAUGAAACCGCUGACUCGCUCCCAUCUAUCAAGUCAUCCCAAACGAUCAACUAACGACUACUGAUAAACCUCAGACGCUAACCCCACCCCAAUACCGGUUACGCGUACGUAAUCAAAGCCCAGCACCGUCUGACGUGGCUCAUCAAUUCACAGCACCGAACGCAGUAAAAAAUCAGUGUGCAUCCCAAACUCUCUGUGUGGGAAAACGUGCAGGAGUACGCCACUAACAAAGGGACCACUAACAGCGUCACUUAACAGGGCGGGUGAGAUCAACCUAAUGUAAAAUACAUAAACGGCGUCGAUAACGCCCCUCUCGAGCGCUGGCGUUUUCUUUUUUUCUUUUCUGUUUUAUUUUUUAAAAAAAUUUGUUUAUAAUCUUCAAAGCUUAGGUGGGGAAACUCUGUUUUAUUAGUUUAAUCACGUGUUUAGGCGAGGUGAAGCCGCUUCACCCGCCGGUUCCACUGUUGGAGGAACUCAAUUUACCAGUAUAGCCUUCUAUGUGCAGUUAAUGACUUCUUUUAUGCAAAUUGAAGAGGGAAUUAGUUAGAGUAUCGGACUUGUCAUUUAUGGGAUAAUUUAUUAAUAACAUAAUGGAAAUCUCAAGUUUUUAAUGAAUUAUACGUGUUUUACCGGCAAAAGAAGUAAGCAAUUCAGCUGGGCUCAGUCCAGUCUAUUUAUAAAAAGCUCUCUGGCUCAUGUGUUUGGAAUUUUUCGUCUCUAAAAAACAAACACUCUCUCUAUAUGCUUCACCGUUUCCUUCCGCCGUCCGCUACCCUGUGUGAGAUCUCCGGCGACGACUAAGGUCUCUGGUUAGUCUGCUUCCAAGAGUUGAUUGUAUUUCUUCCACUUUCUUCAGUUAUGUGACUUUUACCGUAUGCUGAGGUGAAAAUGGCAUUUCAAAGUGGCAUUCUUCCAAGUAAAUUGCUUUUGCUGCUUUGGUUAAAACAUUUCACUCAUCUGAGCUAAUUCUCACUCUGAUCUGCUAUGGUCAAUUGAUUUUAAAAUUUUUUAUCAGAAUUACAUUAAUUACAUGUUCAAAUUUCUCCACAUUGAGAGAAAAAAAAGAAGAUCACAUUUUUGGGUUAAUUCCAGAGUUUCACAAUUUAAAGGAUGCUGUUGUGUAAGAUAUGGAAGUGUCUGUAAAAACAUGGUCUGCAUGUUAAUUUCUGCUUCUCAGAAACUUUUUUUACCUUUUGUUUUACAUUUUUUCUAUGGGGUUUGAAAUAUUUUAGCAGGAAGACAUUUUAAGCGUGGUGAAAGACCACCUAACUUCUGCAAACCUACGCGCAAGUUAUUUAUUUAGCAUUUUCUGCAAACAAAGUGAGUGAAAUAGAAUUUACUGACAACAAAGUGUUGACAAAUUAAGAAAUUACCGGGCUUUGCUCUUGCAGAAUGGAAGCAACGGUAGAGAACUCUACUGUGAUUGUCAAAGGCCCUCAAAUUGAGAAUUCUUGGAUUCCUUCCACCCCUGCGAAGCCUGGUUUGGAAGCUCAGCCAAUCUACACAGAGACGCAAGAACGACAACCAUUGCAAGCAAAUUGGUCCCAACAAUCCCUGCCAUGUGAGGGAAAUGCAUCAGAUGGAUGUAGAAAGGCAGGAAAAUCAAUCAAAUUUCAGCAAGAAAUCAAAGUCCAUAGUGUAGCCACAUGUUGUGGAGAAAACAAUUAUGUGGCUGUAGCCAGAAACUCCGAUGGUUUGGAUGCAACAUCGGCAGCAGAAUCACGGCUGCAUGAAGUCCCACUCAAAUUUUUUCAGGAGUUGUCCUUGGAGACAGACAAGUGGGGCAACGUUUCUUUUCAAGAAUUGAUGGCACUCGCAGAUGCUGCGGGCACUGCCAAAGCUGCUGAGGAAGCGAGUAAAAUUACUGAUUUGAAUGCUGAAAACAUGUCAUGUUGCAUUCAGUUUACCCAGCUGCCAGAAAUAUCCACGAGUUCUUCACUGGAAAACCAAGGCCUGGAUUCGAGUUCUCAGAAUAAUCCUAAGACACCCCAUUGUGAGUCUAGUUGCCUUAUUUAUUGCUACCUAUUACUUCUAUCAUAGAAAAGUUACCCUGUCAAUCAUGGCAGAAAGUUGCCAAGGGAUUUCAAACCAAUAAGAGAAUGGUGGGUCAAAGUAUGCUUUGAGGAGGUAACUUGCUACAGAAUUGACUAUUUGUUCACACAAAUACUAAAAAAGCUACGUUGUUAAUGUCUCCCAGCUCAUAGCUGUAUUAAGAAAAUAUAAAUCCCGUAAAUAUUUCCUACAAAUGAGUAAUAUAACUAAAUAGCCAGAGUGGUGAAACUAGACUUGGCGAAGAAAGCCACAUACCUUACAUAGCUUUGUGCUAGAGUUUAUCUUAUGCACGCUUAUCAUUGCAAAGCCCUUGUUGCAUCCCGCCAACCUCAGUUUCUAUAUGUACACGCACCAAACAUUGUUCUUUAUUCUGUCUGUUUACAUGCUUCGCAUCAAGAAAGCAGGAUUCUGCCUAUCAUGAUGGAACAUAAAUAAACUCCAAGAAUAAUCCUGGCAAUGCUUACCUCAAUCCUGUUAAUGAAUUUUCCUUUGCAGGUGAAAAUGUAAUUUCUUCCAGGCUCUGCUUUGAUCUGAAUUCUCCACCAAGAACAAUUGCUGAUGCAUCAACUACACUUGUCUCAUCCCAAUUUGAGCCUGUCACACCUGAUCCGACGAGGAGAACAGAUGGACGGAAAGUGUCCAACUCUGCAGCAGCAGCAAAAGAAACAAGAAUGCAGAAUGAAGUUAUGAUGACACCUGAAUUGCAUGAGCUCCAAAACAAUCAGUCAGUGCUGGUUGAGAAUCAAUCUUGGGCUACCAUCUCCACUGUAAUAGGGGAGAAUUUCAAGCCUGAAGUAGGCAGUGAACAGCAGACUGAUCUGACCAAGACACCACUGCAGAAGCCAAGGAGGAGAAAGCACAGACCUAAAGUGGUUGUUGAAGGUCAACCUAAUACGAAGCGCAAUCGCAAUCGGGGAACACCAAAGCCUACUGGCCAUCAGGAAAUUGCAAAACCCAAGAGGAAAUAUGUUAGGAAAAGUACAGUCGGCAAACCAGUGGAUAGUCCUUUGGAAGGCAAAACCAAUGGAACAGAUCUAGAAGCAACACCCAAGAGGAAAUAUGUUAGGAGAAGUGCAGUCGGCAAGCCUGUGGAUACUCCUUUGGAAGGCAAAACCGAUGGAACAGAUUUAGAAGCAAAGCCUUCUAGUUCGGAGAAUGUGCCAAAAAGUAAGAGGAAGUAUGUCAGAAGAAAAGGGGUUGAAGAAUCCACCACUCCCUUGGAAGUGGGGUGUACUACCAGAAAUGACACAAUGUCAGUUCGAGUAACACGAAGCUCCUGCAAGAAGUCACUAAAUUUCAACUCUGAAGGCCGAGGUCCAGAUGAAAGGUCCACACAGCCCCCUUUAGACGUUGAUGCUAAGUCACAUUCACAGGCUUCGAUUCCAGAGGAUCAAUCAAGAUCAACCAUGAAGCUAGGACAGGAAAUGGAAGUGGCACAGCCCCCUUUAGAUGCUGAUGCAAAGUCACAUUCACAGGCUUCCAUUCCAGAGGAUCAAUCAAGAUCAACCAUGAAGCUUGGACAGGGAAUGGAAGUGACAGUUGAAAAGACUGAAAUAGGCAUUGCUUAUGACCUCACACAAACCAUAGAUCAUGCAUUCCAAGGCUACCUUUUUGUCAACGAAAGUCAACCCUCUGGAGAUACAACUUAUUGCACAAGCAAUCAAAAUGGAUGUACGAGAGGGAAAUGUCAAAUAGUUUUCUCAGAUGUAACUCAUGACAAAGAGGCAAGCAAUUUUGGGACAUUGUCAUCUGACGCUAGGUGUGUGACAGGGAGUACUUCCAGCUGCAGCAGCAGUGCAUGCUUGACCCAAGAAACACAAUCAAGGAAAUCAAAGAGCCAGCGAUCUUUUAGAAGUGACGAGUCAGAAUCUCGCAGGAUAAAUGCUACCGGGGCCCAUUACAAUUCAUUGCAGGCAUGCCAAGAGCUCUUUCCACCAUAUGGCUACAACUGUCAAGGAACUCCAAGCAUGCAGUUUCCAACAAUUUUCAAGAAAAAGAGGACAGAAAAUUCGCAUAAAUCAGCAACUUCAAGCAUUCUGCCAAAAUCCAGUACCUAUGACAAUGAUGGUCGGGAUAGUCUAUGCCCUUCCAAUGAUUCUCAGAUAUACAAUUUCACAUCAGGAACUGAUUUCAUGAUGUCUGCUGCUCAUUCUGAUGCUAAUAGUAUCCCAACGGCAGCAGCAGCAGCAGCUGAUGGUACCCAACAUGAACAGAACCCUUUCGUUUGCCUUCCAAUCUUGAGAAGUGCAGAAAGAUUGACGAAGAAAAGAUCUAAAGGCCCCAUUCGGGUUCGAGAUUUUGCUUCUCUGCAUGAAAUUUGGGGGCAGUUUCCUACUUCCAGCAGAGGAAUGCUGAGUUCUGGAGUUUUAAAAGGACCGCACACAUGCAUGGAUGCUCUGGUUGCUCACAAUCGGCCAAGAAUGACAACAAAGAAGCGGUCAAAGAGAAACUCUGUUGCUUCAAAUUCUUCCUUUUCAAAUACCUAUGAUCAUCAGAAAUUUGCAAAAAAGUCAAUGGGUAUGUAUAUAUUACUCUUUUAUAUCUAAUUACCAGUAACAAUGAAAUUAUCAGAAAAUUUUCUUACUUGGUGCAUAUGAUGCAGGGUCUUCAACUAAAUUGUGGAAAAAUAAAUCUUCAACAAUUGAUGCCAUCAUUGAGCAGUUUAACUGCCUUGAUAUACAAAAGGAACACAACAGAUUGUUCAACCAAGAACAGAACGCACUAGUCACAUACCAAGUGGACUAUCCAUUGCAGAAUUCUAUUGUUCUUUAUCAAAGUAAUGGAUCUGUUGUACCUUAUGAUGGUUCGUCUUCUCAAAUUAGGAAGCGCCGGCCACGGCCUAAAGUUGACCUUGAUGAGGAGACAAAUAGAGUGUGGAAGCUUUUGCUGGAAGACAUAAACAAUGACGGCAUUGAUGGAACAGAUCAGCAGAAGGCACAAUGGUGGGCAGGUGAACGGGCAGUAUUCCGUGGAAGAGCAAACUCAUUUAUUGCCAGGAUGCAUCUAGUCCAGGGUAUGUAGGCUCAUAAUUUAAUUUUGCAGUAGUAUACAUCUCUUAAUGUGCAUAGACGUUAUUAAGAAGUUGAUCUACAUGGGACUAAGAAAAUCUCAGUGCUGUCUUAAAAGAAGAUAGUAUCUUAAAAGAAGAUAGCAUGUAACUCAGGACUUGUUGGUACAUCCUCCUUAAAUAUGGAACUCGAACCUUGUAGCACGUGCUCUGGAGCAAGAAGCCAAAAGAUUCUGGCGAUUGCGUGUCAUAUAGCUCAAAUUUACAUGACAGAACACAGCAAAGAAGUCUAUUACAAUUUACAUUAUACCUGUAUAUAGAAGAACAAAAAUCAGUGCUCGCCAACCAAAAAGAGAAAUCAAUUAGUAAAUUGCUUUCUUGGUAUGAAACAUUUUCAUUCUAUUUCUGCUUUUCAAGAAUAUCAUUUUGGCAAAAGAAAUUAAGAAAUCUUUUAACCGUAAAUGAUGGACACAAGAAAGUCAAGCAUUUCAGAAAAUACCAAAUCGACUGCCUAAAAAUUUCUAAUAGUUUAAUGGAAUGGCAUGACUGUAAAUAUGUUGGAGAAAUAACUGACUGAAGGAAACUCUGGGCAGAUGGAACAGUGUAUGUGAACCUUCCAUGAAAGGUUGAAGUGCAAUGCAUCUCACAUAGCAAAAGUUGGUGUCGGAUACUCCAAAAAAGUAUCCUCUUCCUACACGGUUACAUGAUUCAGGCAGAAAAAUUGUGUUUGCCAUCUCAAAUAUGUAAUAGGAGUGUGUUAUUUUUUUCUUCCACAGGAGACAGACGCUUCACCCCAUGGAAGGGAUCGGUAGUAGACUCUGUAGUUGGAGUCUUCCUUACACAGAAUGUGUCUGAUCACCUUUCUAGGUGAGUUGAUUUCUAAAUUUCCACCCUCCUCACAAAAGAUCAUAGUAGCUUGAGUGCCUGCAAAAACAACUUUAGUUUGUGUUCAUUGCUGCAGUUCUGCCUUCAUCUCAAUGGCUGCUAGAUUCCCCCUCAAAUCGAAGAGCAAUCACUAUCAUACACGACCAUGUGAACAACAGACAACUGAGGGACAAGUAAUAAUAGAUCCAGAUGAUACAAUUAAAUGGCACAAAAAGGUUUCAAGUCAACUUGCUUGCCUCCAGGAUUCCGUCACUCUAUGUGACAAGGAGUGCAAUGAAGAAGUAACCAGUACCAGGGAUUCCUCUGGAGAUACAUCUGAAGGCACCAAAGCAACAAAAAUUUUAAGAUCCGUCUCUUCAGAUUCUUCAGAAUGUAGUCCAAAACUGUAUAAUGAACCAGACAUUAGCAGCUUAAAAUCUCAGGAUGAUCAAAGACUGGCAAGCUUUAAUGGAGAUAGCAGAGAACUUGAUGUAAUUUCUUCUCAGAAUUCUGUAAUUUCCUCUCACAGCUCUGUGGAGACUAUAAACAAGGCUGAGU
rnacentral:lncRNA from 1 species